rnacentral:lncRNA from 1 species
UCAACUGAAUGGCAUCAAUGCCUUGUCAUCGGGUGGUAUUUCCAACCUUCUCACUGAAGUAAGAACUUUUCUCGUUGACAUGUAUCUAGUCUAUGCAUAUGAAAUUUUGAACUGAACAUGUGUAUUUAAAUCAAACUUUCUUUCUCGCUGUAGGAUUUCAUUGGAGAGGAUGCUGUCAUGGAUGGAUAAUGAAACUUAUGUUGGUUAACCCAACCUACAUGCGAGAUUUUUUCGCAUGUGUGUUGGGAACUUUUAAUUGGCCAUUCCCAUGUUCUUGCACACUGUACCUUGAAACUAUCUGAAUUAUUGUAGUCUAGUUAGAAGUACAAUGCGUGUCGGGGCUUCUAUUUUACUCUGGCUUUUUGUUAAGUCUGUUGUCUUUUGAGAUCAAAACGAUGUUCGGUUAUCUUAUUUCUGAUGUAACCAUUUUUGUUCUAUGUAUUAUCGAUGUGAUAUUGCAUCUUUUCCAGAGACAACAUUUCAAGGUAAAAACAUGUGCCCCUGUCUAUGACAUGGUCUUUAGGACCAAUUUAGCAGACACACCUUACGGCGAAUUCAUACAUUAAAUCUAUUAUAUAAAAAAGGUGCUUGAUGGGAUAACCAAAAAAGAGAAAUAUUCUAGAAAAUCCCAUAAAAAAUAGAAAAAUCCGACCGUUAAUUUAAUAGACGAAAAUUAUACAGCCAUUAGAUUUAAUUUAAGUGACUAAAAUUAUACAGCAAUUAGAUUUGAUUUAAGUGACAAAAUUAUCCACCAUGCCAUUAUGAUGAUGAGAUCCUCCUUCACCCCAUGACGUGAUCAUCGUUAGACUUGAUUUAAGUGAAAAACUUACCCACCAUGCCAUUAUGAUAGAUAACGUGGUCUCCCCUCCCCUAUUGCCUUCCCCCUUUUGAGAUUGAUGAGAAAAAGAUCAUAUCCUUGGUUAAAAAAAAGAGAUGAUAUCGUCCUUCACCGUCUGACAUGAUCAUCAUUUUUUUCCCACACAUCAAUUGUUCCAUCUCCUUCCAAUCUAGCUGUGGGAAAAAAGAGACGGGAUACUCCUUCAUCCCGUUGUGUGGCCAUCGGUUUUCUUCCACGCCAUCAACUAUUUCUUCUCCUUCAAAUAUAGAUUUGGUGAACGAUGCUUGACCGAUCAAAAACCAAUCAAACGGCCAUACCUCGGAAACCUCAUACGACUUAUAAAGAAUGGAAAUACCAAAGGAACUUCAACGUUUUUAAUCCAUGCUAUUAAAGCCUUUGUUUGGUAUAAUUGAGUCAUCUUUUUUCAUUCAUGUGAUGCUAGGGGAAAGUCCAGAAUUGUUGUUCCUGAUAGUGGCGGUUAUUUAUGUCUGGCCGGACGGAGCCAAAUUUGGUGGUUCGACAUGGCGGCUGUUGGUUGCACCUGGCCGGACGGAGCUGAACACGGGCGUUCAUGUGGGGGACUUGGUGGCUGCCAUAGUGGCUGAUGUUACGGCAGCAUCAACCUGCAGAUGAAAGCUGAUGCGGACAUGUGAUCUACUGCUGCCAUGCAAAAAAAGCUGUGGAACUUGAGAUACGGCGGAGGACCUGAUAACUAAUUACUACAGCAAAGCACAGAGAGAAGAGGAUGGAGCAAUUGACGCAAGUACAGAACAACAAUUAGCGACUGAGAAGAGGAUGGAUUAAUUAGUACAACCAUGAGAAGAGGGCGUCUAGGUGCACAGUCGGAGAGGAGUCCGGCAGAGAACUUUGCUAGGUGAGAUCCGCAAGAUUGAUGUCAAUUUUUUUACUCUGCUUGGGUAGCUCAGCUGCUAAGUUCACGUACAGAAAACUAACUUCAAUCCUCAUGUCCCACACACACGUACAGAAAAUGCAUGCAUUAACAACAAGAAAAAGUCCAUGGAUUGCCUCUGGGUCCUCGGGUCCAAUUCUGAUCAGGAGAGCUCAACCACCUCUUCCACCGGUGCGGAGGUGAACGGGCCGCGGAGUAGGCACCAAAGGACAGGCGGAGUGGUAGGUCUGGCGCUGGCGACAAGGCUGACAAAAAUUGGCUCAACUUCCUCUGCCUCAGCGCAGGCCAAACUAUCUCCAAGCAAAACUUAGGUGUGCGGUUUUGCCGGCUUUCAUCGAGCUGUUUCUGCUACAAGCUCGGUGCUCUCCGAUUCCAACGCCGUUCCAUACAUUGCGACAAGAGUUGCUGCCGUUCGCUUCUACAUGAAGGGGUCCACCAUUGAUUUCUGAUAGAACAUGGAUCCAGGUAUAUGUUGAGGGGAGAUCCAUCAACACUAAGAUUGAUUUUUUCUUCUACUUAGUUCCUUUAACUAGACGCUCUGACAUGUAUGGUAUUGUUUUCUUAUCGCCUCUUCACCAGAUUGGGUCGUAGUAUACUAGUAUUCAAAGAAGUGCAGAUCUACGUAAAGAUUGAGAAUUUCAGAUGUGGCUGCAGUAGUCAUCUUUCAAUUAUCUAUUAAUUAGUUAGUAUACGUCUAAUGAUUUCACGAGCCUACACAAUUUUCAUCCUUUGGUUCACUUUCUUAGAUACAAGUCCAUUUAUAUGAUCUGAUACAUGGUAUGGAUGGCAUAACUAUUUAGGCGGCCAUAGAAUAUGCAUUGCAUCCCCAUGACAUGCAGGGUAUAAGGUACAUAUUUAGUUAACUGCUAUCUUUUGUACAGUGCUUGGUUUAAAGAAUUCGUUUGUGUGAUUCAGUUAUUAGCAUGAGCAUGAGACACACUCAUAGAUGUACUAAUUACGAUGGAAGCAGUUUGUGCAUGCAUGCUACAAAUGCUACUAACCAGUUUUAUGCUAGCUAGAGUACAAUUUGUAUCUGACCUGAAAUCUUUAAAAUUAGGUAGGUUUUGAUGUAGAAAAUACUAUAUCCUAAUUUCUAACAGAAACCACAUGACUCAGUACUUUGUUGUUGGUAGUUGAGCACAAUAUGAAUACGUGUGCUCACACAAUCAUCUAAGCAUUGGUUUUUUGUUGGUCCGCAAGAGAUCAUAGUUCUUGGCGCACGAACAAGCAUUUUCAUAACUUCAUCUUAAGAUGAAAGAACUAAUCCAGAAAGCAUCGACUAAGCUUGGCUGAGUUAAUUAACUUUAGCGUGCAUCAUGCACUAAUGGCAUGAUGACAUGGAUACGAUCUUUGUUGUGAUGUAGUGCUAAUCUUGGGGAAUGCUCUAUUUUCGCUACUGAUAACAAUUUUAGAUAAGUGGACAGAGGGUAUACACUAACUCACUUAACGGGCAAGUAGAUUGCUUAUCGAAUAAUAUGACAGAGCAAGAAGAAAGUACCAUAGCUAUCUCCUAUUUCGUGCCUUCCACCUAGGGAACCAUAGAGCAUAUCACCAAGAUGAAUAAAUAUAUGUGAAGAACAACUAACAUUGGACAUCAACGAAGCAUCACCUAUUUCAUCUAGAUAGGGUUAUUUUUUAGUUCUAGCCUUCUUCAGUAAUAGUUAUUUCAUAAAGCAUAUAUGCACAUUCUUUGAUGAGAAUGUUCGCUCAUACUCCCUCCGUCCCAAAAUAAGUGACUCAACUUUGUACUAACUGUGUACUAAGGUUAGUACAAAGUUGAGUCACUUAUUUUGGGAUGGAGGGGGUAUAUAGAAUAAUGCUAAAUAAAUAUAUGGCAUUACGAUCUAAUAUUAAAGAAAUAAACCAAUAAGGAUGAUGCAAAUUUCUCUUUACACAAAUCAACUAGUAUGUGCCAUUAUUAAACUGUGUAAAGUUCUAGCCCAUGCAUCGAGCGGGCCACUUUGCUAGUUCUCUGUAAAGGCAUAUACAUAUUUUCCCCUGCAUUUAAUGUUCAUUGCAAAAGUGUCAGAAGUAGAAACUGAGUGAAGAGAACUUGGUCUUCAUGAUCCAAGUAUGAAUGCUUAACUUUUCCAAUUCUGUGCCUAUCACCUUAUAACAUAAAGGAAAUUAUUCAGUUUUGGUUGUAGAAACUAAUAAUUUACCUCAAUUGUGCAACUUAUGUGCAGCCAAGAAUAGGGUUUAUGAACGCCUAGGCCAUCAUCACAACAUGUUCAAACAUCAUGCACCUGAAUAAUUAUGUUAUCAGAUACAAUCAUAUGAUAUCUCAAAUAUUUACUUUAUUUAAGGGGUGUGGUCAUACUUACUAUUGUUGUGGAAAAUGCUAACAAAACCUCAAAAAAUGAUAAUGCAAGGAAUCAAUGUACCACAUGACAAAUGGAGAUGAUAUUAGAUAAUCUUGUCUGUUUGGUAAGUUAUAGUUUGUAUGUGGUCUACUAGGUACUCCCUCCAUCCCAUAAUAUAAGAGCAUUUUUUACACUAGUGUAGUGUCAAAAAUACUCUUAUAUUAUGGGACGGAGGGAGUAGUCUACUAGGACAUGUUGGAGCUAGCUUUCAUGCCAUGUGUUAGUGCUAGGAAUUCUAGUUAGCAUUAGUCCGGCUGGAAGUAGUAUUGCCGUGUCAUAGUUUGAGUUUAGUAGGAGUCCAAGUCUGAGUCGGUCCAUGUGGUAAUCGUGUAGGGUUCUAGUACUAGUCUAGUUAGGAGUCCAUGUAGGUCUGUCAAGGUCGGUUGCUCCAUGUAUACAUAUACAUGAGGCCUGCGUGAGCUUUUGUAACAGGGAGAAAAGGAGAAACAAAUAAAGAGAGAAACGAGUGGCACAACAAGGGCCUUGGCUAGAAGUUUUUGUUUGCACGUGUUCGUCGUGAUUUGAUGUGUCCAAUCUGUGGGCAAGUUCCAACAGAUGAAAGGAGUUAACGUGCCACACGACAAAGGAAACGAAAGGAGUCAAUGUGCCAUGGUACAAAGAGAGAUGAUAGGAGUUAACACACCAAGUGAAAAUGAAAAAUGGAGAUGAAAGUAUUCAAAGUGACACAUGCCAAAUGUAGAUGAAAUGCGUCAUCGCGAUAGGUGAAAAAUAUAUGCCUUAAGAACCAAAAAGUUCAGAUUUGGAGGGUCAGAUUGGCACCGAACGAUUUUUAUGUAGGGAUACCUAGCAGCACUAAUUAAGUUCACUGCUGGAAAGAAAGUCUCUGAUCUACAAGAAUUGCUAUUAAAUUCACUGCUUGGUGAAUUUCAUACUAGGUACUCCCCCCAAUGUACUUUCCAAAGGGAGCAAUACACCUGAGUUUUAUGAGCUAACAUAUGGUUUAUUAUUAUAGAAAAGGCAUGAAGGGAUGAUAUCCUAUAUUGCGUGAAGCGGUGAAGGUACUCGCUUUUGUUGGAAUGCCUCGAGGUUGUGCAUUGGCAAAAUCCUGAAUAUGAGAUAAUAUAGAUCGAGAGAUGAUCUCUUAAAUCUUUUUGAUAAGAAAAUAAAGGAAUAAGCCAAUGCAUACCACCUACGGGUAAUAUUUUGUUACAAAAAGGAGUCGAUGCACCACACAAAAAGAUACACAAUGUUAAAAGUAUGGAUUUUCCAUUUCCAUUGGGUGAAUCAUCAUCUUCUCCAUUUUCCCUAAAAAGAGAUACCAAAGAUGGAUUAUGGAAGAUCACCACAUCCUAUUGGGCUUCAUUUGAAGCAAUGAGCUUAUGUUGUAUCUCGAGGUCUUUAUAUUUAUAAUCCAAUUGGUGGUGAUCUGACCCUCCAAAUCCCAACUUUUUGAUUCUAAUGACAUAUAUUUAUUGCAUAGUGCAUUAAAUCCUUUCAUAUUCAUUUGUCAUGUGUCACUUUGAAUAAUUUUAUCUACAUUUGUCAUGCGGUGUGCUGGCUUGUUUCAUCUCCAUGUGUCGAGUGGCGCUUUGAGGCCUUUGAACCCCUUGUUGUAUGGCACAUUGACUUCUUUCAUCUCCAAUUAUUGGCUGGCACGUUUGUUGGGGAACGUAGUAUUUCAAAUUUUUUGCCUACGAUCACGCAAGAUCUAUCUAGGAGAAGCAUAGCAACGAGCGGGGAGAGUGUGUCCACUUACCCUCGUAGACCGAAAGCGGAAGCGUUUAGUAACGCGGUUGAUGUAGUCGAACGUCUUCGCGAUCCAACCGAUCAAGUACCGAACGCACGACACCUCCGCGAUCUGCACACAUUCAGCUCGGUGAUGUCCCUCGAACUCUAGAUCCAGCUGAGGCCGAGGGAGAGUUCCGUCAGCACGACGGUGUGGUGACGGUGAUGAUGAAGUUACCGGCGCAAGGCUUUGCUUAAGCACUACGACGAUAUGACCGAGGUGUGAAACUGUGGAGGGGGGCACCGCACAUGGCUAAAGAUCAACUUGUGUGUCUAUGGGGUGCCCCCCUCCCCCGUAUAUAAAGGAGGUCAGGGAAGUCAAUGAUGAUGAUCAUGAAACUUUAGAUCAAGUUACUGCCGAACCUCGUAGGUCAACCAGAGUAUGUUCCGCACCAGAGUGGUACGGACAUCCUGUUCUGGCAGUCAUGUUAGUAGACCAUGAUGAACCUACGAACUAUGAGGAAGCGAUGAUGAACCCAGAUUCCGCAAAAUGGCUUGAGACCAUGAAAUCUGAGAUAGGAUCCAUGUAUGAGAACAAAGUAUGGACUUUGGUUGACUUGCCCGAUGAUCGGCAAGCCAUAGAGAAUAAAAUGGAUCUUCAAGAGGAAGACGGACGCUGAUAGUAGUGUUACUAUCUACAAAGCUUGAAUUGUUGCAAAAAAUGUUUUCGACAAGUUCAAGGUGUUGACUACAAUGAGAUUUUCUCACUUGUAUCGCUGCUUAAAAGUCUGUUCGAAUCAUGUUAGCAAUUGCCGCAUUUUAUGAAAUUUGGCAAAUCGAUGUCAAACCUGCAUUCCUUAAUGGAUUUCUUAAAGAAGAGUUGUACAUGAUGCAACCAGAAGGUUUUGUCGAUCCUAAAAGGUGCUAACAAAGUGUGCAAAGCUCCAGCGAUCCAUCUAUGGACUGGUGCAAGCAUCUCCGAGUUGGAAUAUACGCUUUGAUGAGUUGAUCAAAGCAUAUAGUUUUAUACAGACUUGCGGUGAAGCCUGUAUUUACAAGAAAGUGAGUGAGAGCACUACAGCCUUUCUGAUAAGUAUAUGCGAAUGACAUAUUGUUGAUCUGGAAUGAUGUAGAAUUUUCUGGAAAGCAUAAAGGAGUGUUUGAAAGGAGUUUUUCAAAGAAAGACCCCGGUGAAGCUGCUUACAUAUUGGGCAUCAAGAUCUAUAGAGAUAGAUCAAGAUGCUUGAUAAGAUUUUUCAAUGAGUACAUACCUUGACAAGAUUUUUGAAAUAGUUCAAAAUGGAACAGUCAAAGAAGGAGUUCUUGCCUGUGUUGCAAGGUGUGAAGUUGAGUAAGACUCAAAGCCCGACCACGGAAGAAGAUAGAGAGAGAAUGAAAGUCAUUCCCUAUGCCUCAGCCAUAGGUUCUAUAAAGUAUGCCAUGCUAUGUACCAGACCUAUUGUAUACCCUGCCCUGAGUUUGGCAAGGGAGUACAAUAGUGAUCUAGGAGUAGAUAACUGGACAUUGGUCAAAAUUAUCCUUAGAGGACUAAGGAAAUAUUUCUCGGUUAUGGAGGUGAUAAAGAGUUCGUCGUAAAGAGUUACCUUGAUGCAAGCUUUGACACCGAUCUGGAUGACUCUGAGUAUCGAUCUAGAUACAUAUUGAAAGUGGGAGCAUUUAGCUAGAGUAGCUCCGUGCAGAGCAUUGUAGACAUAGAAAUUUGCAAAAUACGUACGGAUCUGAAUGUGGCAGACCCAUUGACUAAACCUCUCUCAUAAGCAAAACAUGAUCACAUCUUAGUACUCUUUGGGUGUUAAUCACAUGGCGAUGUGAACUAGAUUAUUGAAUCUAGUAAACCCUUUGGGUAUUGGUCACAUGGCGAUGUGAACUAUAGAGUGUUAAAUCACAUGACGAUGUGAACUAUUGGUGAUAAAUCACAUGGCGAUGUGAACUGGAUUAUUGACUCUAGUGCAAGUGGGAGACUGAAGGAAAUAUGCCCUAGAGGCAAUAAUAAAGUUGUUAUUUAUAUUUCCUUAUAUCAUGAUAAAUGUUUAUUAUUCAUUCUAGAAUUGUAUUAACCGGAAACUUGAUACAUGUGUGAAUACAUAGACAAAACAGAGUGUCCCUAGUAUGCCUCUACUUGACUAGCUCGUUAAUCAAAGAUGGUUAAAGUUUCCUAGCCAUAGACAUGUGUUGUCAUUUGAUGAAUGAGAUCACAUCAUUAGAGAAUGAUGUGAUGGACAAGACCCAUCCGUUAGCUUAGCAUUAUGAUCGUUGAGUUUUAUUGCUAUUGCUUUCUUCAUGACUUAUACAUGUUCCUCUGACUAUGAGAUUAUGCAACUCCCAUAUACCGGAGGAACACCUUGUGUGCUAUCCAACGUCACAACGUAACUGGGUGAUUAUAAAGAUGCUCUACAGGUGUCUCCGAAGGUGUUUGUUGCGUUGGCAUACAUCGAUAUUAGGAUUUGUCACUCCGUGUAUCGGAUAGGUAUCUCUGGGCCCUCUCGGUAAUGCACAUCACUAUAAGCCUUGCAAACAAUGUGACUAAUGAGUUAGUUGCGGGAUGAUGCAUUACGGAACAAGUAAGGAGACUUUCCGGUAACGAGAUUGAACUAGGUAUGGUGAUACCGACGAUCGAAUCUCGGGCAAAUAACAUACCGAUGACAAAGGGAACAACGUAUGUUGUUAUGCGGUUUGACCAAUAAAGAUCUUCGUAGAAUAUGUAGGAGCCAAUAUGAGCAUCCAGGUUCCGCUAUUGGUUAUUGACCGGAAAUGUGUCUCGGUCAUGUCUACAUAGUUCUCGAACCCGUAGGGUCCGCACGCUUAACGUUCGAUGACGAUUUGUAUUAUGAGUUAUGUGAUUUGAUGACCGAAGAUUGUUCGGAGUCUCGGAUGAGGUCACAGACAUGACGAGGAGUAUCGAAAUGGUCAAGAGGUAAAGAUUCAUAUAUUGGAAGGUUGCAUUUGGACAUCGGAAUGGUUCCGAGUGGUUCGGGCAUUUUUCCGGAGUACCGGGAGGUUACCGGAACCCCCUGGAGAAGUUAUGGGCCUUAUGGGCCAUAAGAGGGAAGCACACCAGCCCACAAGGGGCUGGUGCGCCCCCCUUGGGCAGGAGGCUGAUUAGGACUUGGAAAAGGGGGCCGGCGCCCCCUUUCCUUCUCCUUCUCCCUUCCCCCUUUCCUACUCUGUGUGGGAGGUGGAAUCCUAAUAGGACUAGGGAGUCCUAGUAGGACUCCACACCUUGGCGCGCCCCCUAGGGCCGGCUGCCUCUCCCUCUCCCUCCUUUAUAUAUGGAGGCAGGGGGCACCCCAAAGACAGACAAGUUGAUCUUUUAGCCGUGUGCGGUGCCCCCCUCCACAGUUACACACCUCGGUCAUAUCGUUGUAGUGCUUAGGCGAAGCCCUGCGCCGGUAACUUCAUCAUCACCGUCACUAUGCCAUCGUGCUGACGGAACUCCCCCUCGGCCUCAACUGGAUCAAGAGUUCGAGGGACGUCACCGAGCUGAACGUGUGCUGAUCGCGAAGGUACCGUGCGUUCGAUACUUGGAUCGGUUGGAUCACGAAGACGUUUGACUACAUCAACCGCGUUACUAAAUGCUUCCGCUUUCGGUCUACGAGGGUACAUGGACACACUCUCCCCGCUCUAUGCUUGCUUCUCCUAGAUAUAUCUUGCGUGAACGUACGUAAUUUUUUUGAAAUAUUACGUUCCCCAACACUUGAACCCCUCCCAGAAAUCGAACGCGCCGUGCUACUGAUGACCUUAUGGAGCUGUUGGCAUGUCCGCGAUGAAGUUGUUCAUCACGAACUGGCACCCUUGGCGGAAGCAUCUAAAAGAUUUCUGGUAAGCUACCUGGACUUUGUCAUUGCGCUCAAAACUGAAUUGUGUGAUGAUCCUUGCAAAGGUAAAUCUAUCAUCACGUAUCGGCAAACAGUGAGAACAACAACGACAGGACAGGUGGAUAGAUGGAGUUCGCCCCCUGCUGGGUGGGUGAAAUUAAACACUGAUGGGUCCUAUAGGCGAAGAUGGUGCAGCUAGAGCGGGAACGAUCUUACGGAAUGACAAUGGUGCUAUCAUUUUUUCGGCCUGUAGGGCACUGUUUUCAUGUCGAGACGAAUUGGAAGCGGAACUCUGCGUGUGUAUGAAAGGACUCUCAUUUUCAAUCCGAGAAGUGAAUUGCCAAUUAUUGUGAAGAUGGACUCCAUGGUUGCAGUGAAGCUGAUUCAGCCGCAUGAGAUAGACAGAACUUUAGACUCUUCCAUUGUAAGAAAGAUUAGGCACUUGAUGAGCGUCCGUAGAACUUGUAUUACUCUUGUUAACCACACUCAAAAUAAGGUUAGUGAUAGUCUAGCUAAGUUUGCAAGGGUUGAAGGAAGAACUAUAACCUGGAUUGGUUCAGUACCUUCAACUUCUUUAGGGCAAGCUCAUGUAGAUUGUAAUGACCAUGAUAUUUGAGUAAUACAAGUUUUUACCCACAAAAAAAGUGGAAACAGGAGAGUUUAGGAGCGAACCAACUUGUGAUUGUAGUCAGGAGGAUAGUGGUAUCCCCUGUCCACCAGAGUUCAAGUCCCAGACUUGACACUGGUGCUCAUAUUUUCUCAUGAAUCUCAAGAUGAUGUGUCGUCUCAGUCUCUCGGAGGUGCUUGUAGGGCUAGGAUGUGCGUGUGUGCGUUCCUAGGGCUGAAUGUAUGCUUGUGUAUUUGUGCGACUUCGGUUUUUACAGAGACCUAUUCUCUGCCUCCCCUCGGGGAGGUCUUGCCCUUGCGCAAGACAUUUGGCCGGCCCAUAGUUAUGCCUCCCCUGCAGACAACGCGGCCCUUACGGCCCCGUUCUCUCAGGCUGAAGUGUGGGCGGCAAUUAAGGGUAUGAACCCUUCUUCGGCCCCCGGUCCAGAUGGCCUCCCAGUGAACUUCUUCCAGACCUUCUGGGAGGUUAUCAAACCAUAGGUGAUGGCCCUGUUUGAGGAAUUCUUCAUCGGGGCCGUUGACGUCACCAGGCUGAAUUUUGGGAUAAUCACCCUCAUCCCCAAAGUAAGCGCGGCUUCAGAUAUCCGCCAGUUUCGGCCGAUUACAGCGAGUAAUGUCAUCUUCCACAUCCUCGCGAAGGGGUACGUCAUUAGGGUGGCCCCCAUUGCCGACCAGAUAACUCACCCUGAAUAGUUGUCAUUUAUCCAGGGUCGGUAUAUCCUUGAUAGAGUUCUAGUCUUUCACGAAGCACUCCAUGAGGUCCACACCAAACACCUCAAGGCAGUCUUCCUGAAACUGGAUUUCCACAAGGCAUAUGACACGGUUAGUUGGCCCUUCCUUCGGGAAUGCUUGCUGCGGAAGGGCUUCGACAACAGGUGGGUUUCCCGGGUGAUGCAGAUGGUCUCCUCAGGAUGGACCGCGGUGAACAUUAAUGGCGAGAUUAGCCCAUACUUCCCCAUAUUCUCUGGGGUGCGCCAGGGCGACCCCUUCUCACCGUUCCUCUUCAACAUGGUUGUCGAUGCUCUGGCAGCCAUCUUAGAUAAAGCCAAGGCUGCGGGCCACAUUAAGGGCAUAGUUCUGCAUCUUGUUGGGGGGAACGGGAUUUCCCUCCUCCAAUAUGCGGAUGACACCAUUAUCAUGGUGGAAGGCUCUGCGACAGACAUCAUGAACCUGAAGUUCCUCCUGCUAUGCUUCCAGCAGAUGUCUGGCCUUAGGAUCAACUUCGACAAGAGUGCGGUAAUGGUCUUGGGAUACUCCCAAGACGAACAGCAGAGCAUCGCAGAUUGGCUCAAUUGCCAGCUGGGGUGUUUCCCCACGACUUACCUGGGGAUCCCCAUUAGUGAUUCGAGGCUCGAGGUGGCGGAGCUGCGCCCCAUGGUGGGGAAGCUCCAACACCGCAUCGAGCCCUGGCAGGGCCGGUGGCUCUCGAAGGCGGCCCAGACGGUGCUUAUUAACUCGUCCCUUGCCAGACUACUCUUGUUCAUCAUGAGUUUCUGCAGCCUUCCUGAGAUGCUACAUCACGAGAUUGCCACAGUUCAGGGCCGCUUCUUCUGGGCCGGCGAGGGCGAUAAGUAGAAGUACCACAUGGAUCGCUGGUCGGACAUCUGUAAACCGCGCCACCAAGGUGGUCUUGGGAUCAUGUCCUCCAAACGCAUGAACAUAGCCCUCCUGACGCGGUGGUUGUGGCGGAUUGCCGACAGAGAGGGUGGUAUGUGGCUUCACAUCAUUCAACAGAAAUACCUCCAUGGCCAGCCUCUUGCCUUCUACCAGCGGUCUGGUGGCUCCCAGUUCUGGCAAUCCGUCAUUCAGCUCCUGCCUAUCCUCCGCAUCGGCUCCUCGAUCGUGGUGGGAUCGGGCGCUGCCACGUUGUUGUGGUUUGAUAGAUGGAAUGGAGACUUUCCCCUCACGGUCUGUUUUCCUGACCUGUUCUCCAUCGCGGUUGACUCGCGGAUCUCUGUCGCGACGGCCCUUAUUGACUUAGGGCAACUCGCGUUCCGGAGAGCUUUUGGCCCGGCUGAGAACGCUUCUUGGCAUGAGCUGCUGGAGUGCAUCGCGUUACAUGAGCCGGAUCUUGAGUUAGGAGAUGACCGUUACAGGUGGCACCUAGAACCUGUCGUGGUUCUAAGUCUGACAGUAGAAUGGGGGUAGGGAUGUAGAGGCAAGAUCUUAGCUAUGGAGAAGCUGUACGCACGAGUUUUACGAGUUCAGGCCCUUCUCGGAGGAAGUAACAGCCCUACGUCUCGUAGCCCGGAGGCGGUCGACUGGAUUAUAUGCGUGUGUGUUACAGGGGAUGCGAACCCUUGUGCAUGUGGAGGGGGGUGGCUUAUAAAGAGUGCGCCAGGACCCCGGCCAGCCCACGUUACAAGGGAUUUAAGGUACAUCAAGAGGUGGGUGUUACUGGUAAUGUCCAUAAUAAAGUGUUAUAAAUGGCUAUUAAGUCUAGGAGUUAAUGCUCGACCGUUGCUGUGUAGAGUGACUUUAGGUCUUCUGUCCGUGGAGUGUUUCUUGUUACGGUCGAGUGAUCUUGAUUCCUCCGAGUGGAAAUGUUUCUGGUCGAGCGGGUGAUGGUACCCCUCGAAUGCUUCUGGCUUUGGAGUGAUGUCCUUGGGGAGGGUAUUUAGGUCAGGCCUGCGACCCUACCCUAGGUACAUGUCCUCAUCAUUAUCCCCCGAAUGGAUCAGGGUUUGAGUGGAGAAGGAGUUGAAAAUACUUCCGACUCAUUUUUUGCGCUUCGGGUGUGUCUUGUUUUGGAUCAACGAACCGAGGUGGUGACACCAACUUCUUUUUCAGUCGCCUUGAUCCAUUCCUGGUUUUGUCGAGUGAACUUUUGCUGGAAGAGGUCCGAGUGCUAAUAUGGUGGGGAUCUUCCGUCUGACAAGUUCCUCUGCUACCCGCGGAUCUGGUGGGAUUCGAAUUUCGGGAAGCGCGCGGGGCGAAGGAGGCCGCAGUAAUCGGGCUGGACAAGGCAAGGCCGCCUCGAUUCCUGUGCCGCCUUUUUUGCCAUGUAUCACGCGCGCGACUGUUGCGGGAUUUGAUAAGAUUGCUUGGGCCUACAGGUCAGUCACUCGGAAGCAACCCCAUAUAAGGCGCCGGACCGGGGUUUUUGAACAGUGCGUCCUCAUUCUUCUUCUCUCUUCUCAGUUUUCCCCACUGUGCCUGCUCCUCCUCCAGCGCGGCCGCUCCGCUCGAGCUCCGUUCGCGGCGAUGGGGAAAUAAAAGACGGUGGCUCUGGAGCGCGCGAAGAAGGUGAUGACGAAGGCGAAGGGGAAAAAGUCCAGCCGGGGCGGAUCCUCGUCGCGGUCCAGUUUGCCGCACGGCUAGAUCCAGGGCGACUGGAUCCGGUCGACGAUCAGUCAGGAUGACCUUGACGAUCUAGUGGAGGAGGGGCUGAUUCCUCACGGAUCGGCGCGGCUCCCGGAGGAUGAGACCGAACCUCGACCGCGGGAGGGUGAGUGCGUCCUCCUUGCCACUCACAUCGACGGUGGAUUUUCUCUGACUCCGCAUCCUUUUUUCUGGGCUUUCUUGAAUUUCUUUGGAGCACAACUUCAUCACUUUUCCCCCAACACCAUCAUAUAUCUUGCUGCUUUCGUGUCUCUGUGCGAAAACUUCCUGGGUUGUCGACCACACCGGGGUCUCUUCAAGCUCAUUUUCACGUGUCGCUCCUAGUCGGUCAAAAAGGCUAACCUGAGUGACGAGAGGACUCAGGUGAUCCAGAUGUGUGGGGGUCUUGGGAUUCAGAUGAGGGGUAAGAGCUCUUUCCCAGCCAUAACUCUUCCUGAGUCAGUACGAGGAUGGCAGUCGACCUGGUUUUACUGCAAAGACCAGCCGACUCCAGGUCAGUCGACUGGACUUCCUCCUUCUUCUAUGGCUCGCGUAGAGAAGCCCUCCGCCUUGAAAGUGACUCUAGGGGAGAAAGCGGAGGUGAAUGUGCUGGUUGAGCGAGUGGUCUAUCUCAUCCGUGAGGGUGUAACUGGAAUGGAUCUGCUGGAAGUCUUCCUCAGACGACACAAUCAGCCACUUCAAGCCCGCGACCAUCCGAUGUGGAUGUAUUCGGGCAUUGAAGACUCCACUCGGGUGCGCCCAGAAGAAGUCGACGAGUAUACGAUGGAGAAGUGGUUGAGGAGUAUCACUGGCAACAAGGAUACACUACAAAAAAAAGACACAUCCGUGACAUUUUGGGCCGAACGAAUUUUUUUCUGUCAUACUUAUGACACUUCUAUGACGAUAAUUGUGACAAAGCCCGGUAUCAUCAUAGAUGUGGUGGGGUCCUACUUCUAUGACAAAAAAUCUUGACAGAAAAUGGGCUUUUCGUCCUGGGCGGGCCGGAGACCCAGCUGCAUGACAUUCUUUCGGCCGUCCAUGACGGAAAAAACCGUGGUAGAAGCGAGGGCGAGGAAAAUAUCGGUGUGUUUCCGGUUACGGUGGGUGGUCGGGGCCGAGCGAUGCGCGUUUCUCUCGUACACGCACGCGCGUGGGUGCGAGGCGUUGGGCUCUAACUGAACCCGAGUGAUUGCACUGCAGGCUAUGCGUUACUGAACCCGAGCGAUCGAUCGAUGGCUGUUAACUGAACCCGAUCGAGCGAUUCCUUCGCUACUGCUGCUAACUGAAGCCGAUCGAUCCUGCCUCUGGAUGAACAGUGAGCGUUGCUAGGGCGGUUUGGAUGAACAGUUCCCGGUGGGGCUGGAUGAACAGGACCCCGAUCGAUCGAGCCGGUUGGGGCUGGAUGAACAGGACCCCGUAGUGGGCAGGAUCAACAGGACCACCCCGUGGAGGGCAGAAUGAACGGUAGACGGUGGAGGGCUGUAUGAACAGUAGCCCGUGGAGGGGUGGUUGAACAGGAGCCCGUGGAGAGGGCUGGUUGAACAGUAGCCGGUGGAGUAGCGCAUGGUGGAGGUUGGAUGAACAGGAGCCCGUGGAUGAACAGUCACAGGUGGAGGCUGGAGGAGGUCGACGGUGGAUGAACAGUAGCCCGUGGAGGCUGGAGGGGGUCGACGGUGGAGGUGAACAGUGCACCGUGGAGUCCCGUUUUGCGGUACGCCACACCCCUCCCGAUGAACAGGACCCCCGUUUCGACCGUAGGAGGUCCGUUUCGUCCGUUUUGCGGUACGCCACACCCUUCCCGAUCAACAUGACCCCCGUUUCGACCGUAGGAGGUCUGUUUCGUCCGUUUUGCGGUACGCCAGACCCCUCCCGAUGAACAGGAUCCCGUUUCGAACGUGGCCGGUCGAACACAAGGCCGUUUCCUCCGUUCUGCGGUACGCCAGGCCUCGUUUCCAUCGCCUGUUCCGUCCAAGCCCUCCCGAUUAACAUGACCACGCAUUUCGUUCCGACCCAGCUGGUUGGCUCCCACGCGUUCCGUUGCCUCCCGAUGAACACGACGCAUUCCGUUGCCUCCUCAUGAACACGACGCAUUCCGUUGCCUCCCCAUGAACACGACGACGACGCUGUUUCUCCGUUCCGAUCCAGCCAUGUCAACGAGCCCUUGCCGUACGUAUGCGCGAGUAGGCGUUCGAGACCCCGCACAUAUGUACACAUACGUGGCCGUAUUUUCUUUCUUGCACCCUGGCCGCUGUACGUAUGUGUACAUGCUACGUGCGCGCCUCUACUACGACACGUGCGCGCCUCUACAUCCACUAGUAUAUAUGUACGCACACGUUCUCGACCAGAAUGACAACGCUACGUACGCUUCGACCAGGUGGGUCCCGACUGUCAGGCGCUUCCUUGCGUGUGAAGAUGUAGCUGGUGGGUCCCAGCAGUCAGGGGGGCGAAUCGUUUUGUUUUGUUUUUGCCCGGAUGCACUUCCUUGCGUGCGAAGGUGUAGCUGGUGGGUCCCAGCAGUCAGGGGGGAAACGUUUUUUUCGCGAAAUACGGUGGCCCGUCCAGUGGGUCCCCGCUGUCAGGUGGAGGAAUAAUUAUUUUGCGCGUAAUAAGGAGGCACUUCCUUGCUGCGGCCAUGGACCCAGCUGUCAGCGUCUCCACGCACAGUACUCUUCUGAUGGAAGUCGGUCGUUGACCACAUUGACCACGCCGCGCCGAGAGCACCAUGGCGGUGGACGACGGUGAGGCCUAGGAAGGGGACGACACGGAGGCAGGGAAGACUCGGCAGUUGUUUCCCACGCGGAAGGGAGUACGACUGUACGAGGGUUUACUGGUUCAUCCGCCGUCGCCGGAGAAUAAUAGCAGGUGUGGGUGAGUAGAGGGAUGGCUAGGCCAGCGAUGGGAGUAUGGUGGGGCGGUGAGGCCUGCGCGGCAGCACAGCCGGCCGCGGGGAGGAGGGAGCAGGUAGUCCCGCCGGCGCUUGUUUGAGCGGCUGGAGCAGGAAGAGCAGAGAUUGAAGAAGCACGACGGCCGUUGGAUGGACAUCCAACGGUCAGUGCUUGUGCAUCAACCUUUUUUUAGGAAAGCCUCAAAUAUGUGGAAAACAACAUACAACCCACCUGCCAUUAUUUCUAAUAAUUUACAGCCCAUUUGCUAAUUCUUAAGGUUUUUUUGGAGCCCAUAUUCUUUUUGUUAGCAUUACAGCCCAUAUUGUGGCCACAGUUAAAAAAUUAUACGAAAUUUUGCAUAUUUCGGUGCGGUCCGAACUGUCUUUAAUCCCGAAAUUUCGACUCACAUUCAAACUGAUUAUAAAUAAAUGUAUAUCAAUAUAAAAUCCAACAAAUUCUCCACGCAUAAAAAUUAAUGUAAUUUAAAAUCUUGAAAUGAAAAAAAGAUAUUUGAAACUAAUUGCCGGUUUGAUGUGUUUUAAAAAUGUACAACCCAUUUCUCAUUACUGAUGGGCCAUUUUCUCGGCCAGCCGAAUGAAAGCUCUCCUCGUCUUGAAAGGUUUGCAGCCCAACAGGCCUGACAAAGCGACUUACUUGGCAAAUCACAAAAAAACUGGGCUGUGGCCGUGGACCUAGCUGUCAGCCUCUCCACGUACAGUACUCUUCCGAUGGAAGUCGUUCCUUGACCAUGUUGACCACGCCGCGCGGAGAGCACCACGGCGGUGGACGACGACGAGGCCUAGGAAGGGGACGACGCGGAGCCGGGGAAGACGCGGCAGUGGAAGCCCGCGCGGAGAGGAGUACGAGGGUUCACUGGUUCGGCUGCGGUGUGAGGCUGCCGUCGCCGCAGGGCCUGGCCAACGGUGGGAAUAGUAGGGGGCGGUGAGGCCUCUGCGGCAGCACAACCGGCCACGGGAGGCAGGAGCAUGCGGCACGACCGGCGCUGCUUUGGGCGGCUGGAGCAAGAAGACCAGAGGUUGAAGAAGCACUACGGCCGUUGGAUGGACAUCAUAUGGUCACUGGAGCUAGAAUCGUUCAUAUUGACUAAGUUGACAAAGCCCUUCGUCCCCGUCAACUUAGUAGGCCCACAAGUCAGCCUCCCACCAAGGUGGGUCCCAGCUAGCCGGGGGAGUAUUCAUUUUUUUGUGCGUAAUAAGGAGGCACUUCCGGUGGGUCCGAGCUGACAGCGGGGGGAAUGUUUUUUUCGCGAAAUACAGUGGCCCAUCCGGUGGGUCCCAGCAGUCAGGGGGAAAUGAUUUUUUUCGCAAAAUACUGGUGGUCCGUCCGGUGGGUCCCCGCUGUCAGGUGGAGGAAUAAUUAUUUUCCGCGUAAUAAGGAGGCACUUCCUUGCGCUGCCGUGGACACAGCUGUCAGCCUCUCCACGUACAGUACUCUUCUGAUGGAAGUCGGUCGUUGACCACAUUGACCACGCCGCGCCGAGAGCACCACGGCGGUGGACGACGGCGAGGCCUAGGAAGGGGACGACGCGGAGUCGGGCAAGACGCGGCAGUGGAUGCCCACGCGGAGUGGAGUACGAGCGUUCACUGGUUCGGCUGUGGUGUGAGGCUGCCGUCGCCACAGAAUAACAGGGGGUGUGGGUGAGUGGAGGGAUGCCUGGCCAGCGGUGGGAGUAGUAGGGGACGGUGAGGCCUCUGCGGCAGCACAGCCGGCCACGGGAGGCAGGAGCAGGCGGCACGACCGGCGCUGCUUUGGGCGGCUGGAGCAAGAAGAUCAGAGGUUGAAGAAGCAUGACAGCCGUUGGAUGGACAUCAUACGGUCACUACAGCUAGAAUCGUUUAUAUUGACUAAGUUGACAAAGCUCUUGGUACGUCAACUUUUUUUUGAAUGCAUGUAGAUCAGCUUAGUAGGCCCACAGGUCAACUUCCGAAACGGUGCGCCCCAGAUGUCAGGGGAGGAAUCAUUUUUUGGGCGGGUGAAGCUAGAAUAUCCGAGAUUGAAGAAGAAGCACGGCAUCCGUUGGAUGGACAUCCAACGGCCACUGCUGCUAGAACCGUGUGUUGACUAUAAGUUGACAAAGCCUUGCAUCCGCGUCAACUCUAUUUUUUUAGGGGACGCGUCAACUUAGUAAGGCCAGAAGUGUGUGGCAGAGAACUUAUAGACCAUUUGAGAUUUGUAAGAAUGUGUAGCCCAUUUUUGAAUUCUAAUGGAAUUUACUACAGCCCAUUUACAGUUUGUUAAAAGUACAACCCAUUUCAACCAACCGUUCAAAACAGAAUUCAAUAAAAUUUCCCACAUUUUGAUGGGAUCCGAAAUAUUUUCAUCCCGAAAUUUCUAGUCAGAUUAAAUACAAUUUCAAUAUAAAUUUAUAUUAAGUAAAAAUCCAACGAAACAUUGUGCUUGCAACAAUUAAUGAAAUUAAAAUUUUCAAUAUCCAAAAAUAAUAUUUUAUAAAGUGAUCACGUGUUUGGUGCAUUUUUUUAUAGUUACUACCCAGUUUUAUAAUUACAUCCCAUUUAUUAUUUCUUAAAGCCCAUUUUCUUGUUAAGCCUAAUGCAUCCCUCCUAGGAAAGAUUUGCAGCCCAGCGGGGCGGAGAAUAACAACUUGACCUUGCCUGGGUAUUCCUAAAAAAAAGUAUAGUUGGGUAGCCAUUUUCAACUUGAAAAAAAUUAAUAUCUGGGCUGGAUAUCUGGCCUGGGCUAGACGGGCCACAGCCCGCCCAGUUAAUACCUGCAGUGAUGUUUACAUUGUUGUUCAGAGGAGAAAAAUUAAUAUCUGGGCUAAACAUCGAAAAACUCUGCAGUGCUCACACCUCAAAAACACAAAUACUGCUCGAGCUGCUUGGUCACAGCUGUCGGCCGCUUCUUGUGCAAUUCUCUCGUUUAUUGACUACUACAUAGGUUGACAAUGGUGUGGGACCGUGAUGUCAGGAAACCAGGAGGAAGCAAAAUAAAUUAUAGUUAUAUAUAUGUAUAAUAAGGAGGCACUUGCGUACGUGAGGCUAUGGACCUGGUGGGUCCCCAUUGUCAUCCUCUCCAAGUAAAGUCAUCUCCUCGCUCGCGCGCGCUUUCCGCCCGAAACAGUCAGCGCCGCCCGCCCCGCUUCCCGGUGCAGGCGAUUGCUCCGCCUUCAAACGACACAAGUGUCGUCCGUCCGUCCAUCUGCCGCCCACAUUAAUGAUACGCGGUUGCCGAGGCGGCUACUCCGGCGCCACACGUCCGUCCCUCCGCCCGUCCACCAUUGCUAUAUAAACUGCUGCGCCGGCCAUAGCCGCAGUAAUCCGCAUCCGUUCCCUUUCUCCUGUCCACACCACUACUGCCCACCAUGGCUUCCUCGCGCUCCAGCGCUCUUCGGGACGGGCGGACGAUGGACCACAAGGAGAUGGCAGCCAUUGCUGCCGACCGGCUGGCCGGCAGGCAGCCGGAGGACGACGACGUCCCAAUGGAGAACAUGGUAGUCGACGAUCCGGCGCCAACCCCCUCCUCCGCGCCAUCCUCGCCGGUGCAUUGCACCAUGACCAUCGGCGAGGCCCGUGCCCAAUAUAUGGACAGGGUGAGGCAGAUGCGUGAGGAGCAGUUCCGGGAGGUGCAGGCCGACGCCGCCUACAACCACCAUCUCCUCCAGGAGCACCUGCAGGCGGAGGAGCAGAUCGCCGCGGAGUGGGCAGAGCAGGAGGCGCUGCUCGACUCGUACCGCUCCACCCGCAAGGGCCGCCUCGAGCGCUGGCGGUACCGCAUGCGGGUGGCGGAGGCUGCGGCCGCCUACAAAGAGGCUAGCAAGGAGGGCAAUGAAGCGGGUGAGGCGCUGUUUGGCGAGACCGAGGACGAGGCAGAGGACAAUGCUGGCUCCGACGAGUCCCCGCUCCACUGGCGUCGACGAGGCCCUGCUCCGCCGAGGCCCCGCGGCGCCAACAACGAGGUAGAGGACACCGCCGGCUCCGCCGAGGCCCCGCCCCGCCAACAACGAGGCAGAGGACAUCGCCGGCUCAGCCGAGGCCCCACCCCGCCGGCAACGUGGGGUAGGAUUUCCACCGCUCCGCUGAGGCGCCGCCCGCCGGCAACGAGACAGAGGACAUCGCCGGCUCCGACGAGGCCCCGCCCCGCUGCCAACGAGGCCGCGCCACACAGAAAACGAGGAAGAGUAUAUCACGGUAGGUUGCCGCCGCUCGGGUCCAAGUAAGGCCACCGCUGCUACCCUCCGGUUGAAGCCAAGCUAGGCGGGUUGACCAUUGAUGGCCGGUUAGCUUCUUGGCGGCGACGUGGAGUCGGAGAGCUGCGCUGGAGAAGAACGCUGCUUCUACUUAACUGCUAGUGCAGUUGGCUGACUGACACGUGGGCCCAACAGGCCACAUGUCAGUUACGCAACUGCACCUACAAUUAAGUCACUGAAGCUUCUGUUCGGCUCAGUGGGACACAGGUGGGUAGCUUCGGUUAAUUAAUUAUACCUCCAGCGCACCCCUUUUUAGUUGAAGAAUGUAUGAAAUGUAAUGAAAUCCGGCAUGUUUAUAUGAAAUGCGACCGUGUAUGAAUGAAUUUAUUUUGAUUAGUUCGAAUUCCUGUAUCACUAGCAUUGGAUGAACAUGCAAAACAAUACGUACUAGCAUUAUUCCCAGGGUGAUCACCUCGUUUGCAGCAGUUUCACAUGUACUCCCUCUGGUCCUUUCUAGUCUGCAUACAAGUUUUGUCUGCAGUCAAAGUAUCUCUACUUUGACCAAUCUUAUACAAAAAAGUAUGCACUUUCACAAUGUGCGAAGUAAAAAGGGACCGAAGGAGUACAAAGAGUUUGAGCAGCUUUUUAGCGUUUCUGUACAUUGCAAUCAAACACACAUGCUUGGCAGUUCAUAGAGAACAUUCAAAAUAAUUGAUGAUUAUGCAUCUCAGCUACUCACAUGUCAGAGGCAAUAUUUACUUCACAACUAAAGAAUAAAGAAAAAAUUGAUCGACGCUGCUGACAGCAAAGGGCGUCCCAUUCGAAAAUAUCAAACGCAUGUCUUGCUAAAAUCAAUGAGCAAAAUUUGACAAGGUUGUCCCAUUCCAAAAUAUCAAAUGCCUAUGAUUGUGGAAUGGGCAGGGUUUGCCAUCAGUUCGGACAUUGACAUGGCACCUCGUGCUAAAUAAACCAGCUGUUCUUUUUGUGCAGUUCCACCAAAAUCAACCAAAUUCGCGCGUAGCUUGUAUGAUUUCGCCUUUAUAUGUUGCAACGCCUUGAACUUAUCGGCACCUCCUUUCUUGUGGUGGAAAUGAAUGAUUCGAUGUAUUCAUGAACAUUUUGUGCAGUUCCCAUUGAAAUCAAGCUGAGCACCCCUGUUUGCACAAAUACAAAAAAGUGAUUAGUAUAAAGCAAUCUGUACUAUGAAUUGACAGUUUCAACAGGCACAUACAUGGUCCAUGUAGAGCACACUUUUAGAAAAAUGGAACUCACCAGAAAGAAUCCUAGAACAACAUUGUACUCUUGCAUAACAGCAAAAAAAUGGAGAUUUGUCAGUCCUUCUGAGCUGAAGUUAGUUUGGUCUUGUGGGGAGUAAUGUAACCAUCCUUCAACUGCUCCUUCUGAUGAGAAGAUAGACAGGGCUUCUUCAUCCUGGCAUAAUCGGAACUAGUCACUUCACGUACUCCAUAUUCUUCUUAAGAGGAAGAUGAUCCUGUUGUGCAAAGACAAGAGGACUACUAAAUGCUAGCAUCCCUGUUUGCUUGAAAAAAAGGAAUGGAAAUAUUUAAAACAGCACAGAUGAAGCACUUCUCAAGGACAAUACCACUUUUUCAUGAUAGUAUCUAAACAGUAGCACAACACCAAUAGAGAUGACAAAGCUCAAUCAUAUGGAUGAAAUCAGUGGGCGAGUACCAACCUUUGUCAGGAGGCUUAUUGUGUAGAGCAUACAGAUGAAGCACUUCUCCGGAACCAUCUGUAGCUAUCUACGGUGGUGGCCAAUCUUACUAUAUACUCCUCGAUUAGUUUAAUGUUUCCAACAUCUUCUUGUGCAGUUCCACUAAAAUAUAUGGUAUCUUCAAAGAAGAUCCCUGUUUGCACAAGUAGAGAUAAUUACAUAUUACAUUAAGAGUGGCAUCAAAUCAGUGGCAAAACAAUUGCUCGUUCCAGCCAUAGCAAUAAAUUAAGAUGCAAAACUAUAUCAUUACUUGUGUCAUCACAGUUCCAGUGCUUCAUUACAGCACCGGGAGUUGAUUUUUGUUUUUCUUCCGCUUGUUCUUCCCCUUCAUCACUUGGUUCAAUAACAGACAAGCUUCACCUUCAAUGUAAGAUUUGGCAUGUCAAUUAGGGAGCACAAGUAUAGUACUAAACUUAAUUUUCUGAUGAAAGUGGCAAAAUACAGGCCAGCAGUUGUGAAAUAUCCUUAUCUUACCUCAAUGGGAUAUUACCGUGCACAUACAGAUUGGAAGUCUUGUCUCCAUUUGUGCAGUUCACUAAAAUCAAGCAACAUUAUCGUACAAGUAGCACAACAUAUGAAAGCACAUUGCAGAAUCAUGUGAAAGAAGGCUAGUACUGACCUCUCAUGAUGCGGAAGUCAAACAACUCACAAGAAGAAGAUCUGAACCAAAUUCGCCUUAACGGAUAGGAAGUAAGAUCUCCUCUUGUGCAGUUCCACUAAGAUCAAGCAAUCAAGCAACGUUGUCGCUGUGACAUUUUGGUUGAACUGCACAAAACACUCUUAAAACAAAAGUGUUUUGUGCAGUGCAACAAAAGGUCACAAUUGCAACGAGGUGAAGUAGAUAACCCUGUUUACACAGAGGUGCAAAGGAAACAAUUAGUGGUCAAUAACGGUGGAUGACACAGAAGCCAACAAAAAGAAGCAUCUACCUUAUCUAAAUGGGAAAGAAAGCAAGACAGUAGCAUUUCUCAAACGGUGGCAUUGAUUAAUAUUAACAUAGAGAUUAUAUUAACAAUAAAAUUCGUCAAACAUGUAAUUUGCUUUUAACUAUGGCAUUGCAUCAAUUUUCUAGCGGCAUUAUUAGAGGGUGUUUGUUUACAGGGACAUUUUGGUGUAGGGACUAAAAAAACUCCGUGUCAGUCCCAUCUAAACCAAACAGGAGGGACUUUUAGGGACUAAAAGUGGGCAUUAGGGACUAAAGAAAGAAGACCCCGAGGGAGUCUUUUUGGGACUUUUUCCAACAGUUGCCCCUGCCACGCAUCGCACCUUGUCUCUAUUAGUUCAUUACUAGGGGUAACAUGGUCUUUUAGCAUGUCAUUUAAUAACCUCUAGUCCAUGUUUAGUACCUGGAACCAAGCAGGUAGGGACUAGGGAGUUUUUAACCAAACAGGGCCUUAGAUUAACAACAGCUAAUGAGUUGCACGGGAUAGUGGACGCACCAGCACCAUGUGCAUCUAGCAAUGUACUGUGGUCAUGCACAGUCUGUUGCAACAAAGAACAAACAACCAAGGAGCAUAUUUGUGUUGGUCCCAGUUUUGUUAUCUUUAGACACCUUUCCCUAUGUGAGCGCAGCAAAUCUAGUCCUGCUCAAACUCUAUAGCCUUGUCCCUUCCUUUCCUUUUUGAACUAGUACUUUCACCCCUUCCUUUCCUCUUUGAACCACGUCCUAGAUUUAUGCGAUACAACUUUCCCCACUACUUUCCCCCAUUCCUUUCCUCUUUGAACCACGUCCUAGAUUCAUGCUAUACAACUUUCCCCCUUCAUUUCCUCUUUGAACCACGUCCUAGAUUCAUGCUAUAUACAACUUUUCCCACUACUUUCCCCCACUCCUUUCCUCUUUGAACCACGUCCUAGAUUCAUGGUAUACAUGCAGCUAGAGAAAUGCAUGUGGAGUAAGUAAAUUAUACCUUAAGGUUCUUGGGGCGUGGUUCGGUGGGCGACGGGACGACGGCGAAGAAGAAGGGGUCGGAGGCCCUCCCGCGCCGCCGCUGGGUGGAAAGUGAACAACUGCGCCGGUAGUCCCUCGCCGACGGCGACAGUGUUAAGCCUCCUUCCCUUCCCGGCGGACGGAUCCUGCCGGCUCUUUGAGCAGCAGUGAGGGGAUAGAGAGGGCUACAAAGUCUUGUUUAGAUCUGGAGAGGGCGAGAGAGUGUGAAGAGAGCAACUACAAGCAUUGAGGCUCCAGCGGGAGAGGGCGAGAGAGUGCGAAGAGAGCAACUACAAGCGCUGAGGCUCUAGCGUGUAUAUAUAUACUGGAGAGAGAGUGUGAAGCAUGCAAACCCUAGAAAACAUUUUGACCAGUCAAAGAAUCCUCCUGGCACAAAUUAUGCUCAAGUGUAGUUAUCGAACCCGAGACCUCAAGUUUGAUGAGUGAACAGGCUAACCAGCUACACAACCCUCCCGUUAUGUUCAACGAGAGGGAAUAACCUUUUAUACAUUCCUGCAUUCGUGUGACAAGCAUGCCGUGUUUUUUGUGUGUGUGUGGGAGUCAUUGGGAUUUCAAUCAUAAUCGUGUCAUGUGGCUUUGGUGGUAAGACUAUCCACAGUGUAGAAAUAAUGCAGCCUUAGUCACCUUACCUCUCUCCACUAGUACGUUGGGUCCCACCAGUCAGAGGGUGAAACAAACAAAUUAAUAAGAAAAAUUAGAAGUGCCAGCGGUGUAUCUUACCUCACACAUCUCGCUACUGCUCGGGAACACUGUCCAAUUGAUCCCUCUGUUCGCUCACGUACUAUUUUAAGUGAAUCCUUAUUAUAACAUGCACACAAAUUUUGGGCACUUGUAUUCGACUUAAGUCAGUGUGCCACCGUAUCUCGUAUACUUACUACUCCCUCCGUCUAGGUGUAAUAAGUCACGUUAGAAGGUGCAACGGGACCAAGGUGGGUGCGUGUGCAUGUGUGUGUGUGUGUGUGUGUGUGUUUAACAGCAUGUGUGUGUUAGAGAGCGACAGAUCGACCUACUCCUACAGAGAGAUGUUGUGUAGUGUACGAUUUAGCCGCGAGAGUUGGUGCAUCCUCUCGUUUCCGGGCGUGUCCGGUAGGGACAUGCGGACAGCUGCCACGCCCGCUCCUGACCAGCCUGGCCCACCCAAAGCCCCUCCAUCGCCCGCGCGCUUCCCGCCCAAAACGGUCAGCGCCGCUCCAAAGAAUCGGUGCCGCAUUCAUGCCCGGGAAGAGCGGACGCGACCUCUCACUGGCGCAAGAGUGAUGGUUGCUUCGUCCGUCCAACUUACUGCUGGGUCUAUGUGAUUUGACGACUCAUUGGUCUUUAUUACUGAAGUGGUAGGACUGCUGGAUGUCCCACGCUUUCGGCGAAAGGAGGUACUACUACUAGAUUACAAUUUUCUCCAUUCUUACAGCGGAGGCGUCCAAGAGCAGUGAAAACACGCAGGCUCAGUGAUUACAUGGCCCACCUCACACUAUCACCGUGCGACACCUAACUCUUUACAUAGUACUCUCUCCGUUCCUAAAUAUUACUAGAUGAGUCCCCGCGCGUUGCCGCGGAACAACGGUAUAUCUCUCUGCGCAAAAUUAUCGAUUUCAUAGAACUAAAAAAAACUCUAUAACAGCAUGACAAAUGUGGUAGCCAAACUAAAUAAACUCCCAUCAUCAUUUAGAUCAUCCCACGUAAGGAAAAAAGAUCAGCCAACUCCUACUGCAUAAUGGGAUUACAUUUUUCUUUUUGACAUGUUAAUGGGACUUAAAAGCUCACUUACAUGCAUGCUAUCAGUGCAAGCUUGCAUGCAGACAUGUUGAUGUGAUUUAAAACCCACUCAAAUGCAUGUGCCAUGGUAUUUCUGCAUGCUUGCAUGUGGCUUAGUGCGGAGCCUCUCAACGUCUAGAUCAGACGGCUAUUAUGGACUGAUUUACUUCAUCUAACGGCUACAUCAAUUUUGAUGAUGUGGCUCAAGGAGAGGAUAGAGAAUUCCUAGUAGUGGGGGCUAGCUAUUACUAGUAGAUAAGUCUUUGUAGAGAUUCCACUACAUACGGAACAAAAUAAAUGAAUCUACACUUAAAAUGCAUCUAUAUACAUCCGCAUGUGGUUCAUGGUGAAAUCUCUACAAAGACUUAUAUUUAGGAACGGAGGAAGUACUAGUAUAGUACGUACUGUAAUUUAUCAGCGAGAUAAAUUUGUACAGUGCUAUGAAGCUUCCAGCUUCUGUUACAUGUAUCUUGCGUCCAAGGUUGCCCGUUGCAACAUUUCAUCAAAUACAAAGGAGACUAACAUGCAUGCUAUUGCAUCUCAAUGAUAGACAGAUCAUAGCAAAUAUGUACUCCCUCCGUUCCAAAAUAAGUGUCUCAACUUUGUGCAAACUUUAGUACAAAGUUGUACUACUACUAAAGUUCACACUUAUUUUGGAACAGAGGCAGCUAAAGAAAAAAAGAUCCAUGCAGUCCCUAGCCCUUGAACCGUGAACCCUGACUAGGAUUCAAUUUGCUGGCAACGUUCGAUCUUCCUAAUAAAUGAAGUUUGCAACCUUUUGACCAUCAGAUCAUUUUGUGCAGUUUCACCAAAAUCGAGAUGAGCAUCCCUAUGGCAAAGAAAUUGAAGAAGCGUGAUUAGAAUAAGAUUACUGGGACUAGUUGAUGAGACAUAAACUCAUCACAAAUACAGUACGUAGAAGCCAGUAGAGGUAUGUGCGGGGCAAAGAAGUAGAGAAAUAUCCACAGGGAGUGAUGUGGGCAGCUGGAGCAGUGGUGCAAGCGGGCUGUAAAGGGAGUUGUACCUGAGAGACGUAGCUCAACCUCGAGGAGGGCGGCGGGAGGCGGCAACUUCCCACGUCGCGGCAGUGAGCAAGGGACGAAGGCAACCUCAACGGCUUUGUGAGAGAGAAUGGCGGGGACCCCUGAUCGGACGUGCCGAUAGUGGGUUUUCGCUGUCGGCGACGGCCACUGCAUCUACACUAAGCAUCCAUCCUUUCCCCAAGCGGACGUGAUCCGCCGGGAUGUUAGAGAUGUGGCCACAGUCGUUUUUGUGCGAGAGUGUGUGAAGAGAGCAACCCCAGCAAGCAACCGUGUAGGCUGGCCUGUCCUGACUAUGUAUAUAGUGGAGCGGUUUCCUUUUCUCUCCAUAUGAACCUAUCAUAUUAAAAAACUUUAUUUAUAAAUGACGCGGCACCUACUACUCGUUCUCCUAUAACCUUGCGCUUGGCAUCUCCAAAAUAUUAACCUUGCGAUUGGCUCUUCGCCUCUUCGGGAAGUCGAGCAAUAAUGGUAGUGCAGUAUAUAUCGUUCUGGCUAUAUGAGACCGAAUGAAUUGCUGCACGUCCACCACGUGGGCGAGGGUCGAGGGGCGAGGGGCGAGGGAGAGUGCUACAUACGGAGCAAAAUGAGUGAAUCUACACUCUAAAAUACAUCUAUAUACAUCAGUGUUUGGAGUAUGUACUAGUAGUUCAUAUUGAAAUCUACUAAAGGACAUAUAUAGUCCAAACAAUAUGAUAUAAUCUCUAUAACCAAGGUAGUAGGGACGAGGAGUAAACGGAGGGAGUAGUAAAUUUUUCUCCUCGUCCUGCGAGCCACCACGCGCAUGGGCGAGGGAGCAGGCGUAAGGCGGAGCAAGCUUCACCUCAUCCUGCGAGCCACCGCGCCCGUGGGCGGGGGAGACAGCGUACUAAGCAAGCUUCUCCUCGUUCUACGAGUUGACGGGACACAUCCAAAGUACUCCAGUGUAUAGAGCCUUGCCUCUAAGGUAGGCCCCACAUGGUUUGUCUCUUUUUUUAACAUAACACGUCAAGUCGCAAUUUGUUUGUUCACCCGUGGUAGACGAUCCUCCCUCCACCAAGUGGACAACUAGUACACGUGCCAAACUACCACGUGGGCUGCCUUUUUCGUACAGAAAUGAGCUCCACCGUGUACCCGCGCGGGUGUGGUUGGGAAAGGACGGGAGUACGUGCGCCCUGCAUGCACCUCUUCUCUUCGUGCACGUCCCCCACCUACGUGGGUGUGUGUGAGAGAUACAAACCGCGUUCGUGAGUUUUUUUGUUUUGGGGUGGGGGUGGGGUGGGGGGUUGAUUUCGUGAAUUAUUUGUGGGAAUAUGUGUCGAUGACAUCUCAAACAAAAUUUUGCAUGCAAUGUGUGUGAAAUGGAGGCCUAUCCAUAUCAUACAUAGAGGGUCGGGCAAUCCACGAGAAGAGAGGGAGGGGUCAUAGCUAUCGAUAGAGUCGAAGAGAGGAUCAAGUGGGUGGGUGCGAGAUCGAUGAAGAGAGCCAUCGAAAUUGUGUGUGUGUGCAAGUCAAAGAUAUAGGGCGACUGGCCUACCGGAACGUUAGAGGGCACAUGUCAAGUUUGUGUGUGGCAGGGAGACAUGACUAGAGCGCUCGAUGUAUCGGUGUGUGUGGGGGGAGGGGGGUGGGGGGAGGGGUAGGCACAGGCCUAACUAUAGAGGUAGAACGACUCGUAUAUGUGUUGAGAAGGAGAGACCCAGCUAUGUCUUGAGGGAGAUCGGUCGACAUCCAUACAUAACUGAAGGACGGGAAAUAUGAUGGGACAGAGAGAGAGAGAGAGGAGAGAGAGAGGGAGGGAGAGGGAGGGAGAGGGGUAGAGUGCUGGAUGGGUGAUGGAGUUGCUUCUCGAAGAUGGUGGGAGAGGCCUACUAGACAAACUGAGGGUGGAACUGCAAUGUUAUCAAUAAGAGUGGGGAUGUGUUUCUGUGUGUGCUUGUGCGUGAUAGAUCUGUUAGGAUGCAUCCAUGGAUGAUGAAGGGGAACCAUGUGUUUGGUAAGCAAACCUAACUAGAUCGGUAGAUCAAUUGUUGUUUGUCGGAGGAAGGGAGAGACACAACUAAUGAGGUAGAUCGAUUGACGUGUGGGUAAAAACGAGUUAUAAGGACCUAGCUAGCUAUAUGUAUAGCGAGAGAUCGGUCGAUGUACGUCCAUUUGUUAGAGCCAAAUAAGGCCCAGCGAGACGGAUAGACAGAGAGAAUGGAGCUAGGAGGUGGUGCGAGAGGCCCAACUACUAGCUAGAUAGGGGCGAGAGUUUACACGUGUGUCUGACCGUAUGAGAGACACGAGGCAAGGACACAUAAAGGAGGAGAUUGAAGGUGUGUGUGUAUGUUGUAGGCAGGCAUCGCUGGAGAGGUUUAUCGAUCGGUGUGUGUCGGAAAGGAGUUGUGGAGACUCUAGGAGAACGACCUAAAGAAAAAAAAUGAAUGUGCCCGGUGGAUAGAAUGCCGAGGGAGGGGGAGGGCGAGGAGGGCGUGUGCAUGCACGAGAGAAAGUUAGUGGUAGCUACAAAGGUUAGAGGAUUGUGUGGGUGUAAGAGACUAACAAAGAUCAUAAUUUGAUAUGAAAGCGGAUUCAUAUAUUUGAAUAGGAGAUCAUAGUGUUUUAAACAUUGCAUGCAUGAAUAUAGCGGUGAUACACGUGCUGUGUACAUGUUAUACCAUAAUGUGAUAAUGCAUGGCGUUUGCAACUCACAGCUAAAUGCCGAACAAUCUAAACCAUACUAUACAUCAAACAAUCUCACAUUUUAUUUGAAUUUGUGAUAAUGUGUGGCGUUUGCAGCUUACAACUAAAUAUCGAACAAUCUAAACAAUACUAUAUAUCGAACAUUCUCACAUUUUAUUUGAAUUUGUGGUAACGUGUGGUGUUUGCAACUCACAUCUAAAUACUUGUAGGCGUAGGGGGCGGGGCACCAUACAUAAUGUGAUAAACACAUUAUACAUAUGAGACAUGGUUUAGAUUAUGAAGAUCUAGCUAGAGCUAAAAAUGUAAUGUGAUUUGAAAUCAAAAUAAAGUGGAUUCAAAAAAUCUAGUUCGAGUUCAUAUAGUACACAUAGUUCAUAUUAACUCGAGACUAAUCAUGUGGUGUGCUGUGAAGAUAAUACACAAACGAUGGUUUAACUUGACAAUAAUGAUGAUUGUAGAUCUUAUUAAAACAGAGAAAUGAAUUCAAAUGCUUUGACUUCACAACAAUCAUUACUGUAGAUCUUAUUCAAAUAGAGAAACGAAUUCAAAUUUAGUUCAUAUUGAAGCGGUAGUAUAUACGUUUGGAAUGCACUAAAACGUUCAUUUGAGUAGUAGGUUGCAUGCAUUAUACACGUAGCGAAAUAUUUUAAUUGAACAUAACAUGAAUUCAAAGUUUUGAAUGACAUUUGUAGUGCGCAUUGAUUUGGUACAGUACACGUCAGGCUUGUCCGGAAAUUUUAACCCGCGCCUUGUUAGCCCGAAAUAUUUAAGAUAUAUCUUUGUCUCGUUGUGCUCCAACAACUCCCUCCAUCUCAACCCGCGCCUUGCUAUUCCGAAAUUACAACGCGCGCGAAAACUCCCACCUCCUGUGAAAUCCCGACACGCGAAAUGCCCGUGGUACCCCUGAACCGAAAGAACCGCCGCAAAUCGGUGGGGGUACUUUCGUAACUUACCCCACAUUUCGGACAAGCGCGUCUCUAAGCCAUGGUUCCCCACUGCCAUCCCAUCCGCCCACCCAUUCGUACACCGAGGCCGCGAAAACCCGCGAUGAAACCCCACACCCUGCUCCGUCCGCCACUCAGCCGGAGCCUCUUCCCCAACGACGUCGUCCACAGCAACACCUCAACGUCCCUCAUCCACCCUACCGGAUGAGGAUCCGCCGUUGAUCUCAUCGUCCCGCCGGUUCAGCCACCCCGUCCUCCACCUCCAAGGAGCUGCCCCGACGUUCCCCUCGUCUUUCGCGCCACCUCCAUUCCCACACCGCCGUCUUCACCUGCACCACCGGAAGAGCAUCAACAUCACCGUUUCCUCGAAUGAAGCUGCGGCCUAAUCGGCGCCACCAAAGAGGUUGUACACUAAUCACCGCAUUUUCUUCUUGAUUCGAUCUCACGGUGCUGCCGGCGCUCGGUCCCGAGCCGACACGGCGCGGCUCCACCCACGACGGCGUCGUCGACCACUUCCUCCACGACGUCGCUCCCUCGGCGGCGACGUCCACAUUAGUAGGAGCUGCUGCUGCUUUAGCUCUCGCUCGCUCUACUGCUCUGCUCUUGCUCUCGGUCCGCUGCCUGGUCUGCUCUUGCUAUUGCUCUUGCUCGCGCUGCUGCUCUCGCUCUUGCUCUUGCUCUUGCUUGCGAUGCUGCUCCGAUUUAGCUACACUUCGGUCGACUGAAUCGACUUUUGGGUCAGUCGAUUUUCAGGGGGUNNNNNNNNNNNNNNNNNNNNNNNNNNNNNNNNNNNNNNNNNNNNNNNNNNNNNNNNNNNNNNNNNNNNNNNNNNNNNNNNNNNNNNNNNNNNNNNNNNNNNNNNNNNNNNNNNNNNNNNNNNNNNNNNNNNNNNNNNNNNNNNNNNNNNNNNNNNNNNNNNNNNNNNNNNNNNNNNNNNNNNNNNNNNNNNNNNNNNNNNNNNNNNNNNNNNNNNNNNNNNNNNNNNNNNNNNNNNNNNNNNNNNNNNNNNNNNNNNNNNNNNNNNNUAUCUAUCUUAGGGUUCAGGAUGGGGCGGUGGUCGCCGGUGGUGGCGGGGCGUUGGCGGGCAGUGGCGUGGGGAUCGCCGGAGAAAAAGCUCGGCACGGGGGGGCCUAGAGGGAUGGCCGGGGCGGCGGCGGACCGGCGGUGGGGAGUGUUUUCGGGGCGGGCGGGGCGGUGCACCGCCGUCCGCGGGCGGCGGGGGGCUGCUGUUUGGCCGGUGGUGGCUGGCGGCUCAGGGGGGUGGAGGUUGAAGAUGAACCGCAGGCCCUUGAUUUCGUAUCCAACGGCUGCAAAAUCGACCGACCAGAGAUGAAAAAGUCAGUCGACCGACGUGUAGCCUCACCUUGCUUGUGCGUUCAGUUUCGACAGCAAAAUUCAGUUUCGACAGUUAAGUUCACUUUCGACAGUUAAGUUCACUUUCGACAGUUAAGUUCACUUUCGACAGUUAACUUCAGUUUCGACAGUUAAGUUCAGAGAUGAGCGGCUGAUGUAUUUUACAUCUAGCACUUUGUGGUUAUGUAUUUUACGUCAUGUAUUGGAGAUGCUAUUAGAAUUCCACUCAGGUUAACGUUGUUCGUUGUCUCUCUUGUCCUGCUUCAGCCUCGGCGUCGUACAACUCACCGGAGCUGCUCUAACGACGAAACCCUCCAUCACAGCGGAGCAGUACCUCGGGCUCCAUCUCCAGACGCCUAAGAUCUUCUUCCCCUCCUCCGACAGCAAAGUCAGCCGGAGCAUCCUCACCGACCAACCCAAUCACGCUGAGAUCGACAUGGCUUCGCCAAAGAGGUUGUACACUUGUUGCAUCUCUUUUUUACUCUACAUGUUAUAUAUAUUGUCCACUGAGCACACGGAUUUGUUCCUUUAGUGUCUCCUUGAAAGAAAAAACGUAGGAAUUUUAAUUUUCACUUAUCCUCCUUUUCAAAUUCCUAUUCAUGAAGCACAAGACUAAGAGAUAGUAGCAUAAUAGCAUUAUAACCGUACAUUUUCUUAUGGUUUGACUUAAUCUCACCAUGCUUCUUUGCAUCCUGUGAUCUUCCAAUUGUUGUGAAUCAAACACCCAGAUUGGCAGAAAUCCUGUGUUUUUAAAUUCUCUGUUUUGCACAUGCAUUCCUAUCCUAUUCCUGUCUAUUUCCUAUCCUUACAUUGUUGGAAUCCUCCAAUUCAAACGAGCCCUUAUAGAAUUACUUCUCUUACAGAUAAUUGUCAAAGAAAACCUUGCAUGGUUUGUCCCGCUCCUGCUGCACCGUCGUCCACCCCAGCUCAGCUGCUCCAACGAUAGAAGGGUCCAGCACAGCAGGGAUCCGGCUUCCAGACUGUCUUUCGUCGCCUCAGAUCUUCUUCCCCGCCGCUGGCAGCCAUGAAAACUGCAUUACCAUCAUCAACCGAGCAGAUGACCUCAAGGACUACACAGGUCCGCAAGAGAGGUCGCACUCUUUCGUGUCUGCUUACGUUAUGCAUCGCUUAAUAUUACAUGCUACUUUAUCGUCCUGUUCACCAAUUAGACUCUGAGUCAGCUCGAAACUAAUGGUCAAACUUGAGUUUUUAAAUGGUUGUGGGGUACAUAUCGGGGCCGCUAUCAAUAGUAUCUAUCUACUAUCUGGUUAAUCUCCGGUGUCUACUAUGAGUUUCAUGUUGGGUGGGAAACAAACAGUAAAGAAGCCAUUAUCUGUAUUUUUUAACUGAAGCCAUUAUCUGCCUGCUAUUAUUGGUUUUGGGUCUAUCCACAUGUUGCUACCAUCACUCUGGAUUUCUGCAUGCACUCCUUACAUAAUCUCACUAUGUUUUAUUCCUAUGCAUGACAGUUAUUGUAAACAAUGGAACUGAACAUGUAGAGCAAAAGAGACGAGCCUUGCGUGGCAAUAAAAUUUCAUGUAGACGUCGCUCCAUGGUUGGCGCAAAGGCAGCCCCCCCUCCACGCAUUUCGGAUUGUAAUCGAGAGAAAGAUAUCUGUUCUGAGGGGGAUUCAGAAGGAGAAGACAAAUCCUAUUUACCCCCUGAGGUCUUCGCUCUAACUUGGCAUGCUGAUGUUGGUUAUAUCAUGCAUAUGGUGUCUUGCAUUUCUUACUUUAUACAUCAAAUAUGUCAUCUGCUUAGUUUAGACAUCCUUUGUGAGAAUGCCAUCUGUUUAGUUUAUUCAUCAUUUAUGUGAAUUAUGCAACACCAUCUUGUUUAGCCAGGCAUCAUAUAUGUGAAUUUUGCAAUGCCAUCCUGCUUAGCCAGUCAUCUUAUAUGUAAAUUAUAUCAGGCCAUCCUUUUUUUCUUACAUAUUACAUUUGUCAACAAUGUUAGUACAUUCAACUGCUCUUCGUGUGCAUCAGCCAUUUGACACGGUGAUGGCAAAUUCUGGAGUGAAAACAAGGUCUUCAGAGCAGACUAUGCNNNNNNNNNNNNNNNNNNNNNNNNNNNNNNNNNNNNNNNNNNNNNNNNNNNNNNNNNNNNNNNNNNNNNNNNNNNNNNNNNNNNNNNNNNNNNNNNNNNNNNNNNNNNNNNNNNNNNNNNNNNNNNNNNNNNNNNNNNNNNNNNNNNNNNNNNNNNNNNNNNNNNNNNNNNNNNNNNNNNNNNNNNNNNUGUAUGCUCUAACUUGGCAGGGUCAUGUUGCUCAUAUCGUGCGUACGGUGUCUCGCAUUGCUAUGUCAUUUGAUUAUUUUAGACAUGCUUUGUGUGAAUGCCACCUGUUCAGUGUCUAAUUACCAUAUAUGUGAAUUAUGCAUUGCCAUCUUGUUGCAAUACAUUAUAUAUGUGAAUUAGAGAAUGCUAUCUUGUUGCAAAGGCAUUAUAUAUGUGAAUUAUGCAAUGCCAUGUUGUUUAGCCAAUCAUCAUGUAUGUGAAUUAUAUCAUGCUAUCAUUUUUUUGUAUUACGUGUUCCAUUUGUCGACAACAUUUGUAUAUUCAACUACUCUUCCUGUGCAUCAGCAUUUGAAGCGGUGAUGGAAGUAUCUGGAGUGAAAACAAGGUAUUCAGAGCAGACAAUGCUACCUGCUGAAGCAGACAUCUUGCUGGUUACAGAGAUCUCCUCAGAGGAGGAUUCAGAGACUGAUGACCAGUCCUAUUUCCCCCUUGAGGUCUAUGCUCAAACUUGGCAGGGUUAUAUUACCCAUGUCAUGCAUGUUGUCUUGCAUUGCUUAGUUUUUACAUCAUAUAUGGAUUGCCAUCUCCUUACUUGCUUACUAUAUAAAUCAUAUAUUUGAAUUAUAUCAUGCCAUCAUGUUUACAUAGUACAUACACAUCAUCUAUCUGAAUUAUGGCAUGGCAACCCAUUUAAUAAAGCCAUCAUAUAGUUAUAUCAUCUCAUCCUGUUUAGUGUUUACAGUCAUCAUAUUUUGAAUUAUGGCAUUCUAUCCAUGAAUGUAUGUGAAUUAUGGCAUGCCAACCUAUUUAGUAAACACAUUAUAUAGUUAUGUCAUGUCAUCCUGUUUACAUAGUCUCAUAUUUUGAACUAUGUCUUUCCAUCUUUUUUAGUUAGCCAUCAUAAUGUGAAAUUGUGUCAUGCUAUCCUGUUUAGUUAGCCAUCAUAUAUGUGAAAUUGUGUUAUGCUAUCCUUUUUGGUUAGACAACAUAAAUAUGAAUUAUUUCAUGCCCUCUUUUAUUCCCCACUAUCCAUUGCACCUAUCUAUCAUACAAUGUCUAUACUUUCAAUUACUUUUCUUGUUUAUCAGCCAUUUGAAUUGGAGAGCGUGAUGGCAGUAUCUAAGGGAGUAACAACACGGUCUUCAGAAAAGAUAGUGCUACCAGUUGAUGCAGAAAGAACCAUGGUUGUACUUGCCCAAGGACCAGAUCCACCACACAUAACCCGGACUCCCACAGAUUGUACCCCUACCCAGUUGGACAGAGAACCAGCUACACCCCUUCUAACCCCAACCCCGGCAGAUAGUAACCCAGUUCUAGUUGACACAGCACCGUCUCCACCACAGAGCACCCAAACACGAGCAUUUAGUAAGGGAACUGCAGUGCCCAAAGCACGAGGACCACCACUCCGAAUCCCAACUCAACGCUUAAAGGAGAAGAAGAUUUGUUCUCAGGUCAGGUUCUGUAGCUAUGGUUCAUACUCCUUUGCUCUUGCAUUACUGUAUUUACUCAUACCAACUAUUUUCAAUUUUGAAGGCUGGAAUUGAAACUCCAAUGGCGCAACAGGUAUGUUUUAAACCUGUUUCUUUAACUGGUUUGCUGUUGUAACCUGCUCUAUGUUGAUUUCAGUUUCAAUUGAAUAAACAGUUAUGUUCUCAUGUCAUGCACAUUACAAGUGUUGUUAUUGCUCUAUAGUUACCCAUACUUAUAUUCUGUCUAUUCUGCUUUUUGUCUUGAACAAAUAUUAUUUGAACUGUGUCUCUAUCUUGAUUUGGCAACAAAAACUAGAAUGAUAUAGACCAUAAAGUGACCAUGGUACACAGAUAUAUGUUUGUUUCAUGCUGUUAUCCUGUCCACUUUACUACUGAACUCAUUUACCAAAAUGAGUUUCAUAUACAACAUGGUAAACAUGUGAUGUGUCUGCUUGUUUCUCUUUUAGAAUGCGGACAAAAUAUUGGAGAACAGUACCGCGUUAUCCAAUGGUAAAGGAAGUAAUGCAGAUAAGGUUCAAGAUAGUGAGACAUCCCUGUUGGUCUCCAAGAAAGCUGAUAAAAACUAUCUUGACGACAGUGAGGGAACCCAAAAGUCCUGUCUUGAUAUAGUGUUCGAGUUACUGGCCACUACUGCUGGCACAAGCUCUUCGAACUCGCUGCCUGAAUCAGUUCUUCUUCUUGAGUCUCAACUUCAAGUUGAAAGACAUCGAUCAGAUGUGCUGCGACAGGAAGCUGAAGGACUGAGGAAGUCCCUGCAGAAUUUAGAUGCAUAUUUUCUGGUGCAACAGCAAGCGCUGGAGGAUUUAAGCGCCAAACAAGAGAAAGUUAAUAAGCUUGCUAAGCAUCUUGCCAGCAUUAUGGGUACCCAGGAUAUUGUUUCUUGAGAUCUUCUGAAGUGGUUUCAGUUCUGGAUUUGUUUUGCUGCGGCGUUUAUUUGCGCUGGUCGCCAACUUUGACAGCCAGUGUAUAUGAUAUGCUGCUUUGUUCCCUAUAUUUGCACUGGUGGCGAACUUUGAUGCCCAGUGGAUGUAAUAUGUGUAAUAGCCAUGAUAGCGUAGCGUUAGUUGCUUGCUUAUUUAUUUCCUUGUUGUCUUGUUUAUUUGUUUGCUUGUAGUCAUUGUAGUUCUUUUUCCGCGGUUAGCUAAUGGCUGCAAUAACCUAUUUUUUAAAAACUAGGCCACAAUAACCAUGGGCUAAUAUUUACUGUAGUGACACUGGGCCUCCUACUGGCCGUAGAAACAGUGGGCCUUCUACGGGCCGUAGAAACAAUGGGCCUUCUACGGGUCGUAGAAACAAUGGGCCUUCUGCGGGCCGUAUCAUCAAUGGGCCUUAUACGGGCCGUAUGAUCGAUUGGCCAAACAUAGGCCAAACAGACCGCAUUAUGGCCGUAAACGGGCUAGAGUUCGAAUCGUCCGUUCAUGGGCCGACCAUAACGGACCAUCGUUAAUAGGCCGUAUUUGAUGACACUAUGAAAACGGCCCAACGUAUUAACGGACCACAAACGGGCCGACUGUAACCACGAGAUGAAUUUGGCCCACAAGCAGAAAAUGACAGUAACGGGCCGUAAGUAAACGAAUGCUGGAAAUGAGCCCAAGAAUAAAUGGGCUCUGAGAAGGCCGAAAGAUAACAUGGGCUGGAAACGGCCCAACGGAAUAACUUGCCGUUAAUGGGUAUAAAGUGAUACACUGUUCAUUACGGGCCAGUUUCACCACGGGCCGUUAAUGGGUGUAAAGUGAUACACUGUUCAUUACGGGCCAGUUUCACCACGGGCCGCUAAUGGGCCAAGAGUUACAAAGGGCCUCAUAUGGGCAAAAAGAUGUCAUGGGCUAUACAUGGGCCAGAAGUGAAAAUGGGCUGGAAUCAUAUUGGAUGGCCCAGAUGACGCUACUGGGCCUAAUUCGGAUAGGGCGUAACGGGCCUUGGGUUAGAGGGCUGUAAAUGGGCUAUAUGCGAACAUGCCAUUAACAGGCUUUCCAUGGGCCAGCCCGCUAGCUUUUGACCAAGUCAAACGGGCCGUCCUUUUCACAGUAAUGGGCCACUGUUGGGCCGUGCCACGUGUCGACGUAUCAUAGGCGCCUUCUGUCCAGUGAGUGGAUGACAUCUGUCCCAACGAUGAGCCGACACGUGUUUCCUCUAGCCAAUGAUGAUUUUACACAUGGAAAAUCCCCAUUGGUCGGGGCUGUUAACGGGUUAUCGGAUCCAAAACCCGACCCGAUAGCUUAACGGCGUUCCGUUACGGUGGAUGCCACGUGUCGGUCACCCUUGACGAAAGCACUUCCGUGACGCGCGAUUUAUUGUCAUGGAAGUGGACACUUCCAUGAUGAUAAUUUUGGUAAUGUCAUGGAACACUUCUACGACAGCACAUGUAUGACUAUCUUGAUUCUGUCAUAAAUUUGUCAUGGAUGUACAUGCAUGAUAGAAAACGUGACCUACUGUGACAAACACGUAUCAUCACGGAAGUGUAUUUUUUUUGUAGUGAUAACCCCAGAGGAGCCAGGAGAAUCCCUCCACUUGACCAAUCCUACGAACCAGACAAGGUCCGAUUCUGAAUUACCGAGUGUAAUCUUGAUUUAACAUGCAACUGUUUAUGCUUCACCGACUGACUUUGUCUUGCUUGUUUUCUUCUAGGCCCUUACUGAAAUGUACUCAAUGCCCAACGGAGAGCAGGAGCAGGACCCGGAGGGGGAGGCAAGCGGAGGUGAAAGCGGCGAGUGGCAUUCCAACGGAGAGGGGGACGAGGAGAGCGAUGACCCAAGUGACGAAGAAGAGGUCGACUCUCCUCCCCGCAGGGAAAGGCGAUCCAAACUUACUCACGACCCGGCGAGCGCCCGUGACAAGGCGACCGUUCAGACCGGGCAGUCGUCAAAGCGUCCUCGGACGUCCUCUCCGGCACCAACUGAAAAAGCUCCAAAGCAGUCCAAGGUUGUAGUGCAGAAGACUCGGAAGGCGCUGCUGAGAAACAAAAUUGACGUUCCUGUUGCUUCUGCGUGAGUGUUCUUCUUUCACUUUUACUCAACGUUCUGUGCUAUUUAUUUUUCCCUUGGUUUGACCGAAUGAAUCUUGAAACUGGCAGUGCCGCUACCUCUGGGACCUCUGCUUAUAAGAACAAGGAUGAGGAAAUGGAAGAUGCGGUGACCUCCAAUCCAGGUACAAUCCUCGUGAUUUUGUCUUCGAUUUGCCGAUUGAACUGUGCUAUAUCCAAUCGGGUGAUGAAACUUUGGCGACUGAUCUUUUUACAGCCCUCAAUGUCAUUGACCUCCCCGACGACGACGAGGACGAGCCACAGAGGCCCUUGGGGAGAAGAAACAGGAAAACGUCCGCUGGCAAGACGCUUCAAUCGACACCGGUGGUGGAACCGGUAAUUCAGGACGCCGGCGAUGCCAAUCGGACUUCUGUCUCCUUCGCCAUACCGCCGUCGAGUGCUCGGCCUUCCUCAUCAGCUGCACAGACUCCCACCGAUCCACCUUCACUUUUUGCUACACAUCACGUCCUAGAGGACCAAGUGGGUGCUGCAAGAGAGGCUAUACGCCAGGCGGGCAUUAUGAUGGAGAAGAUGAAGAUGGUGCGGGAAGCCAGCCAAGCUGCUUAUGAUGCCAGCUCCGCUCUCCAGAGCAACGCCCAGGUUAGUAGAUCGUCGACUGACACUUCUGGCUUGUUCUGUUAGGAUAUGGUACCUGAAAACUUUCUUUCCAGGAAUCUUUGGAUCUGUCUGUGCCUUGCAUCUGUACACCCACUGGGUGUUUUGAUUUGUCACUGAACAGAUUCGCACUUUGAGCUGAUAAUGUUGUUGUCAAUUGAAUCUUUUGACCAGUGGGGGCACUCUGAGUGCACCCACUGGGUGUAGUCCCCGAGACCAUACUUGACUGCGGGCAGUCGACUAUGGUCUGAGCAUCAGAAUUUGAAUUUCUUCACUCGGUCUGGUCGGGCCAUGUCGAGUGGAACUUUGAACUACUGGGGGCACGCUGAGUGCACCCACUGGGUGUAGAUCUUUUGACCAGUGGGGGCGCGCUGAGUGCACCCACUGGGUGUAGUCCCCGAGCCCAUAAUUGACUGCGGGCAGUCGACUAUGGUCUGAGCAUUAGAAUUUGAAUUUCUUCACUCGGUCUGGUCGGGCCAUGUCGAGUGGAACUUUGAACCACUGGGGGCACGCUGAGUGCACCCACUGGGUGUAGUCCUCGAGACCGUGGUCGACUGCUGGCAGUCGACUAUGGUCUGAAGACUGUUUUUUUGCACUCGUGCUGGACAGGCCUUGUCAAGUGUAAACUGAACUAGUGGGGGCAUGCUAAGUGCACCCACUGGGUGUAGUCCCCGAGACUACUGUUGGAUGUUUGAUUCGGCAGUAGUCUUAGAAUUUGUUGGCUUUAUCCUUUUACCUCUCCGAAAUAACCAAUCUUUUCACCAGUCGACUGACCUGUUCUUUGGUUGCAGAAAUCUUGUGAUCUUGGAGCUUGUUUUGCUGACCUGGAGGAGCAACAGAUUCAGCUCAACCUCGAUCUGGAGCUGGCCAAGACAGAACUGCAGAAGGCCAACGAUGACGCCACUGGUAAGGAAGACCUGUCGACUGAUUUUUCCCUGAACCAGAUUUCAUUCUGCUUUUUCUGAAUCCAACAUUAUUUCUUUCAGAGAAACUGAACCAAGCUCUGGCGAAAAAGGAUCAAGAUCUGGCGGCCGCGCAGAAAAAAGCUGAUGAGAAAACUGCGCUCGCUGAACAGAAGUUGGCUUCAGUCGGCAAAUUGGAGGAAGAAACUCCAGGCUGAAAACUGCCCUUGACGAAGCCAAUAAGGAAGCGACUCGCCUGAAGAAGGACAAGAAAAAUCAGAACGAGAAGAUGGAAGGUGUUGCCCGCAGGAGGAACGAUCUGGAGAAUUAUCUUGGAAGCCUUGCUAAGAAGUUGUUCGUCAUGCUUGAAGGUGUUUCCUUUGAUCCGACUGGUUUGUUCUUGUCGACUCGACAUAUGAUCAUUGGCUUACCCUUGAAUUGUGUAUGCAGAGUUUUGCUGGGACUUCGAGGAAGAGACCGGGCGAAUUGAACCAAGCUUGGACCCCAUCAACUCUCCUGUGAACGAUGAAGCUGCCAUGAACGUGCUCCGACUGGAAUCCCGCAUCACUGGUGUUGUCGAUUAUCUCGCCCGACUGAAAGUCGCGAUGUCGCGGAUUGACACAGCUCUCUGGCCAAUGGCAACACUUCAGAAUGACCUCGAGUGUAUGAUGGCUCGGCUCAAUGAAGCUCCCAGUCGAAUUCAAGAAUGGAAGAAGUCUUCUGCCCGGUGCGGCGCUGAUGUGGCUCUAUCUCUAGUUCGUGUCCACUUUCGAGAAGCUCGGGAAGAGAAGCUGGCGGCAAUUAAAGUUGCUAACACCAAGAGGCAUGACUUCCAGUCCUUCAUGGAGACUUUCAUUGAUGCCGCCACUCGGAUUGCUGACGGGAUCGACCUGGACGAAUUCGUCGAGCCUGCCAGCCCUCCUCCUGUAGAGUGAACAAACUUUUAUGCUCUGCCUUAAAUUUGCCUCGGAAUGCUGAGUGAUUUUGUAACCAUUAAAAUCCUUCGGGCUGAAUGCCCGAGUACUUUGAUCAGUGGUCUUGAACUUUAGGAUUUAUCUGAACUUGAUUUAUCUCUGAAUAUGCUUGUAUUUGUCUUAGAGUGGAAUUUGUUCUUCACACGGAAUAAUUGUUGUGCUUGAGAUGCAGCUCUGAGGUUGAUGCUCCAGUCGACCCGCACCUCGUCGUCCUUGCAAAUAAGGGUGGAGCGCACGUUGUACUUGUGGCGCAGCUCCGAAAGAGAAGGUUGCAGUCGACCUGCACCUCGUCGUCCUUGUGGAUAGGGAUGGAGCGCACGUUGUACUUGUGGCGCAGCUCCGAAAGAGAAGGUUGUAGUCGACCUACACCUCGUCGUCCUUGCGAAUGGGGAUGGACUUCGAACUUAGGCGAGUACUAGACUGCAGCUUAGCCCCCGAGUGGGAGGGUUGCUCACCACUCGGUAGGAUUUUUCAAACUUAGGCGAGUACUGGACUGCAGCUAAGCCCCCGAGUGAAAGGCUUGCUCACCACUCGGUAGGAUUUUUCAAACUUAGGCGAGUACUGGACUGCAGCUAAGCCCCCGAGUGAGAGGCUUGCUCACCACUCGGUAGGAUUUUUCAAACUUAGGCGAGUACUGGACUGCAGCUAAGCCCCCGAGUGAGAGGCUUGCUCACCACUCGGUACGAUUUUUCAAACUUAGGCGAAACGGAUUCGCGGCUAAGCCCCCGAGUGAGAGGCUUGCUCACCACUCGGUAGGAUUUUUCAAACUUAGGCGAAAGGGAUUCGCGGCUAAGCCCCCGAAUGAGAGGUUUGCUCAUCACUCGGUAGAAUUUUUCAAACUUAGGCGAAACGGAUUCGCGGCUAAGCCCCUGAGUGAGAGGUUUGCUCAUCACUCGGUAGGAUUUUUCAAACUUAGGCGAAAUGGAAUCGCGGCUAAGCCCCCGAGUGAGAGGUUUGCUCAUCACUCGGUAGAAUUUUUCAAACUUAGGCGAAACGGAUACGCGGCAAAGUCACCCACUGGGGGAUUUCAGAUGCAAAGUAAAGCAAUAACAACCAUUUAGGAAGACUGUAAAGCUCAUGUCUUUGAUAAACAAAGUACAAAGGUAUUUCUUAUUACAUCUUAUCCGAAUGAGUACUUAAGUAUAAAAGGGGCGGAGUAGCUCCGCGUUCCAAGCCCGUGGCUCAUCUUUCUGAUGCUCGACAUUGUAAAGAUGGUAUGCUCGAUUGUGGAGAACUCUGGUGAUAAUGAAGGGACCUUCCCAAGCAGGGGCGAGCUUGUGUGGUUUCUGCUGAUCGACGCGAAGAACCAAGUCUCCCUCUUGAAAGGCUCGGCCCCUCACGUUUCUGGCGUGGAAUCGAUGCAAGUGUUGCUGAUAAAUGGUCGACCGGAUUAAGGCCAUCUCUCUUUCCUCCUCUAGGAGAUCGACUGCGUCUUGCCGGGCCUGUUCUGCUUCAUCUUCAGAGAAGAGCUCGACUCGGGGUGCAUUGUGAAGCAAGUCACUCGGUAGAACAACUUCAGCUCCAUAAACCAAGAAGAAUGGAGUUCGGCCAGUCGACCGAUUGGGAGUUGUCCUCAAUCCCCAAAGAACUGAUGGAAGUUCAUCGCCCCAGGCGCCUGCUGCGUGCUUGAGAUCACGCAUCAGUUGGGGUUUCAGCCCUUUGAGAAUCAAGCCAUUUGCUCUUUCUGCUUGUCCAUUCGACUGGGGGUGGGCGACUGAAGCAUAGUCGACUCGUGUGCCUUGGGAAGCAUAGAAGGCUCUGAACUCAUCAGAAUCGAAGUUCGACCCGUUGUCAGUGAUGAUGCUGUGCGGAACUCCAUAUCUGAAUGUCAAUUCUCUGAUGAAGCUGAUGGCAUUACUAGCUUCAAGAUUCUUGAUAGGCUUGGCUUCAAUCCAUUUGGUAAACUUGUCGACUGCUACAAGCACAUGAGUGAAGCCGCUCCAACCAGUCCUCGGGGGUCCAACCAUAUCCAAUCCCCAAACAGCAAAGGGCCAGACGAGUGGAAUAGUCUUCAGGGCUGACGCAGGCUUGUGGGACAUAUUGGACUAAAACUGGCAGCCUUCACAUUUGUCGACUAUAUCUUUCGCCAUUUCAUUUGCUCGUGGCCAAUAAAAUCCGGCUCGGUAUGCUUUGGCCACAAUGGUCCGAGAGGACGCAUGGUGACCACAGGUCCCCGAGUGGAUGUCGUUGAGGAUCACUCGACCUUCUUCUGGUGUUAUGCAUUUCUGGCCGACUCCGGUUACGCUUUCCCUGAACAGUUGUCCUGUGAUCACAGUAAAGGCUUUGGAUCGACGGACGAUCUGUCGAGCCUCUUCUUCAUCCUCUGGGAGUUCCUUCCUAAGGAUAUACGCAAUGUAUGGCACUGUCCAGUCGGGAGUGAUGACCAAAACCUCCAUGAUCAGGUCGACCAUGGCUGGGACUUCGACUUCAAUCGGAUCUAUGGCACUCUUAGGCUGCGGGGGCUCUUCAGUGAAAGGAUCUUCUUGAACUGAAGGUGUAUGCAUGUGUUCCAAAAACACGUUGCUAGGAAUGGCUUCCCUCUUGGAACCUAUCUUUGCCAAAUCAUCGGCUGCUUGAUUUUUCAGUCGGGGUAUAUGAUGGAGCUCUAACCCCUCAAACUUCUUUUCCAACUUCCUCACCGCAUUGCAAUAACCAGUCAUAGCCGGGCUUCUGACGCCCCACCAAAUCUUAGUCGCCGUAGACCAUGAAGCGACGGACGCCGAGUGAGAUGGGCAUACGUAACCCAUAUAAGAGUGCUUCAUAUCCCGCUUCGUUAUUGGAGGAAUCAAAGUGAAUCUGGAGAACAUAUCUGAGCUUGUCUCCUCGGGGGGAUACCAGUACCACCCCAGCACCGGAACCAUUCAGCAUCUUGGAACCAUCAAAGAACAUGGUCCAGUGCUCCGAGUGGACUUGAGUCGGCAGUUGUUGUUCGAUCCACUCGGCGAGGAAAUCUGCUAUUGCUUGGGACUUCAUAGCUUUCUUUGCCACAAACUUAAUAUCCAAGGGAAGGAGUUCAAUCGCCCACUUUGCCACUCGACCAGUUGCAUCACUGUUGUUCAGAAUCUCUGAUAAUGGAGCAUCGCUGACAACUGUAAUGGAGUGGUCAAAGAAAUAAUGUGCAACCUUCUUCGUGGUCAUAUAAAUCCCAUAAACAAGCUUCUGAUAAUGUGGAUAUCUUUGCUUUGAUGGAGUCAAAACUUCAGAAACAUAAUAUACUGGGCGCUGAACGUUAUAGGCUUUUCCUUCUUCUUCCCGCUCGACCGUAAGUACUGUACUGACGACUUGUCCAGUGGCUGCAAUGUAAGCAGUAAAGGCUCUUUGCUAAUUGGGGCAGCAAGCACUGGCUGGGUGGAAAGUAGGGCUUUGAGCUCUGCAAAUGUUGCAUCAUCUUCAGGAGUCCACUCGAACUUAUCAGACUUCUUCAUCAGUCGGUAAAGAGGCAAUGCCUUUUCACCGAGGCGAGAAAUGAAUCGACUCAAGGCGGCCAAACAACCUGUAAGCUUCUGGACAUCGUGCACACGCACAGGGCGUUUCAUUCGGAGAAUGGCACCAACUUUCUCUAGGUUAGCGUCGAUCCCCCGUUCGGAAACGAGGAAACCGAGUAAUUUUCCGCCCGGAACUCCGAAUGUGCACUUUGAUGGAUUAAUCUUGAUAUCAUACCUUCUGAGGUUGGCAAAAGUUUCAGCAAGGUCAGCCAACAGGUCGGAACCUUUACGUGACUUGACCACAAUGUCAUCCAUGUAUGCUUCCACAUUCCGAUUGAUUUGAGCGAGUAAACACUUCUGAAUCAUCCGCAUGAAUGUGGCUCCAGCAUUCUUCAGGCCGAAUGGCAUGGUGACAUAACAGAAGCACCCAAAUGGAGUGAUGAAAGUUGUUUUUAUCUCAUCUGGUCCAUACAGUCGGAUAUGAUGAUACCCGGAAUAAGCGUCCAAAAAGGACAAGCGCUCACACCCUGCAGUCGAGUCGACUAUUUGAUCGAUGCAGGGGAGAGGAAAGUGAUCUUUCGGGCAGGCCCGAUUGAUAUGCUUGAAGUCAAUGCACAUGCGAAGUGAGUCGUCCUUCUUGGGGACCAUGACAACAUUGGCUAGCCACUCGGAGUGGUAAAUCUCUCAGAUAAACUCAGCUGCUAGGAGCCGAGCCACUUCUUCACCGAUUGCUUUUCUCUUCUGCACGGCGGACCGUCGAAGAUGUUCUUUGACUGGUUUCACUUUUAGGUCGACUCGCAAACGGUGCUCAGCCAGCCCCCUGGGAACACCCGGCAUGUCAGAAGGUUUCCAUGCAAAGAUGUCCCAGCUCUCACAGAGGAACUGGAUGAGCGCUUCUUCCUAUUUGGAGUCGAGUGUUGUCGAAAUGUGAGUCGGAGCACCAUUGGGAUCGGUCGGGUGAAUAUGAAUCGGCUUCGUUUCACCAGAUGACUGAAAUGCUGAAUCCAUGGCAGGCUUCUUAGCUCGCAACAAAUCACUCGGAUCUGCAUUUUUUUGAUACUCCUGCAAUUCCACUACUGCCAUUUGCGCAUCGGCGAUCUUUGAGCCCUUCUGGAAGCACUCUUCUGCCUUCUUCCGAUUGCCAAUGAUAGUGAUCACUCCUUUAGGACUAGGCAUUUUCAAUUUGAGGUAAACAUAACAUGGUCGAGCCAUGAAACGUGCAUAAGCCGGCCUGCCCAGAAUAGCAUGAUAAGCACUCUGGAAAUCGACGACUUCAAACGUCAACUUUUCUUUGCGGUAAUUCUUGGAAUCACCGAAAACCACAUCUAGGGCGAUCUGGCCGACGGACUCAGCCUUCUUGCCAGGAAUAACCCCAUGGAAACUCAUAAUGCUUUCACUGAGUCUGGACAUCGGAAUGCCCAUUCCUUUCAAGGUCUCCGCAUACAGUAUAUUCAGGCCACUGCCACCAUCCAUCAGAACAUUAGUCAACCGAGUGCCUUCGACGACUGGGUCGACCACCAACGCUUGCCUCCCAGGGGUGGCUAUGUGUGUCGGGUGAUCAGACUGGUCGAAUGUAAUGGCAGUCUGGGACCACUUCAAAUAACUUGGCGUCAUCGGAGCGACCAUGUUCACUUCUCUGUUGAUGACUUUCAGUCGACUCUUGCUCUCAACAUCAGCAAAAAUCAUCAGGGUGGAAUUGACGUGGGGGUAACCAUCAUCGUCCUCUUCCUUAUCCUCAACUUUGUCCGAUUCUUUCUCCUUUUCUUUGGGCUGUUUCUCUCGGAACUGCUGGAUUAAGAGCCGACAUUGUCGAGUGGUAUGUUUCAGAUAAAUGAGAUUACCCUCCUCAUCCUUUUUGGUGUGAAUGUGGCAUGGUAAAUCCAACACAUAAUUUCCAUCUUGAUCUUUUACUUUCUUGGGGUUCCAUGGCCCUUUCGGCUUCCCCUUAAACUUUCCUUGAGUCACGGCUAAGGCUUCUCCGGGAGCAGCUGACUCGGCUUUAUGCUUCUGCUUCCGACUGGAGUUCCCUCCCCCGGUUUCGUGGGCGACUGUUUUCUGUUUGCCACUCCGGAGCCGAUCCUACUCUUAACCGUUAGCAUACUUGGUGGCAAUUUCCAUCAUUCGACUCAGAGACAUAUCUCCGGUCCGACUGAACUUCAGAUUCAAUUCUCGAUACUUGACGCCUUCCUUGAAGGCACAAACUGCUUGGUGAUCAGACACAUUCUCCACCGUGUGGUGUAACGUGAUCCAUCUCUGGAUAUAAUCUCUCAAAGUUUCAUUCGACUUCUGCACACAAGACUGUAGCUCUGUUAGCCCAGCUGGCCGUUUGCAUGUACCUUCAAAUGUUCUGGCAAACACUCGGGCAAGCUCUUCCCAGCUAUAAAUACUGCCAGGUGCUAACUGAUUCAACCACGCUCUGGCCAAGCCCUCUAACAUCAGAGGAAGGUGCUUCAUGGCCACUUCAACAUUGCCACCACGAAUCUGCACCGCCACUCGGUAGUCCUCAAGCCAAGUGUCAGGCUUGGACUCACCAGUGAACUUGCUGACUCCAGUUGCCAACCUGAAGUUGGGAGGAAUCACUGCUGCUCUGAUGGCUCUGCUGAAACACUCAGGACCUGAAACAUGCACCCUGCUGCCGGUCAGGUAGUCUCUAUCGUGGCCAUCUCUUUGUGCUCUGUUCCUGUCAACCAGACCUUGAACGAGAAUGGAUCUCGCGUCAAAGCCCGGCUCCCGGGGGUCGACUGGAAUCCUUCACCCACCACUGUGAGGGCGCCUGUCAUCGUGUUGCCGAGGCGCGUAUGACCCACUCCUUGGGGGAGGCGUGGGAACUCGACGACGAUCACACUGCUCACGGUUUCUGUACUGAUCCUGUCGAUCUCCACGUCCCUCAUGCCUUGGAGGUGAUCUUGGGCUGUGAGCCGACUGAACUGUGUCUGCCAUUACAGAUCUACUAUGAAUCCUAUUCCGAGACUGUGACACUGCUGUGUUCUGCUCCCCCGCCACCCGGAGCAAAGCCCGGAUCUGCAUCAAACCCCUACCAGCCUCCGACUGGGAAGGCUGAAUCGACUCUGCUAUUCGGGCAGCAGCUGUGAGAUUCUGGAUCGGAGUUCGAUAUACCUGGGUUGGAGGCGGAAAAAGUUAACGUCGACUGGAUUCAGGAACUCGCUGCCUAGCGCGCUCGUCGAGUGCGUGCUGGAGAUUCUCCAGUUGAGUGCGCUCAGCCAAGUUGGCCAGGCGCACCUCCUCCAAGGCCCGGGCCUCGAGGGUUUCUUUAACGAUAGGAGUGUGAAGUGCAUCCAUGUUACGGCGGCGAAGCUCUUCCCUCUGCUGCGAAGAGCGGGGCUCGGGGCGGUACUCCUCAUGGACACGCGACGGAUCGCCUCCGCCAUCACCACCUUCGUCGCGGGGGAAGCCAGGAGGACUGUGCGGUCCGUUGACCAUCAGGACUUCCGCCGCGGGGUCACUGCUGUCGCACUCGGAUGCGGUCUCAACGGAGCCAGUCGACAUGUCGGCCGUAGAUAGUUUCGUCGGGCUCGAUUGCCGCGACUUGGGGGGUGGCCGACUGGCGAGCCACUGCGUGCCUCACCCACCGCUGGAGCCUCGACCGACCGGAACGCUUGUGCCGGCGGGCAGCAGGGAGUGAAGACGCCACCGGAGCCGACCGAUACUGGGUUGACGGCUGUCGCAGGAGGACGCCGCAGACGCACGCGCGAAAGUGCGUUGCCCCGCGGACGGGGAGCGCCUCCACGUCGAGUGAAGCUUCUUGGAGCCAAGCGGAGUCGUCGGCGACGAACACGAGCGCGCCAAGACGGAUCUCGCGGCCAUCGGCCAAUCCUCCGCCUGAAACCAUGCUGAUGGGGAUCGGAAAAAUUGCAANNNNNNNNNNNNNNNNNNNNNNNNNNNNNNNNNNNNNNNNNNNNNNNNNNNNNNNNNNNNNNNNNNNNNNNNNNNNNNNNNNNNNNNNNNNNNNNNNNNNNNNNNNNNNNNNNNNNNNNNNNNNNNNNNNNNNNNNNNNNNNNNNNNNNNNNNNNNNNNNNNNNNNNNNNNNNNNNNNNNNNNNNNNNNNNNNNNNNNNNNNNNNNNNNNNNNNNNNNNNNNNNNNNNNNNNNNNNNNNNNNNNNNNNNNNNNNNNNNNNNNNNNNNNNNNNNNNNNNNNNNNNNNNNNNNNNNNNNNNNNNNNNNNNNNNNNNNNNNNNNNNNNNNNGGAGAAGCUGUACGCACGAGUUUUACGAGUUCAGGCCCUUCUCGGAGGAAGUAACAACCCUACGUCUCGGAGCCCGGAGGCGGUCGACUGGACUAUAUCCGUGUGUGUUACAUGGGGUGCGAACCCUUGUGCAUGUGGAGGGGGGUGGCUUAUAUAGAGUGCGCCAGGACCCGGCCAGCCCACGUUACAAGGGAUUUAAGAUACAUCAAGAGGGGGGUGUUACUGGUAACGUCCGUAAUAAAGUGUUAUAAAUGGCUAUUAAGUCUAGGAGUUAAUGCCCGACCGUUGCUGUGUAGAGUGACUUUAGGUCUUCUAUCCGUCGAGUGUUUCUUGUUAUGGUCGAGUGAUCUUGAUUCCUCCGAGUGGAAAUGUUUCUGGUCGAGUGGGUGAUGGUACCCCUCAAAUGCUUCUGGAUUUAGAGUGAUGCCCUUGGGGAGGGUAUUUAGGUCAGGCCUGCGACCCUACCCUAGAUACAUGUCCUCAUCAGAACCUUCUGGCAAUUCUUAAGUAAAUUCCUAUACCAGGCCAUCGCACCCUCGCUGGGUCAUGAGGCGCUCACCACCAUCUGGGAGAUUUGGCUCCCCUUGAAGAUUAGGAUAUUCUUGUGGCAAUGGAUUCGCGGCCGCCUCCCAUCCGGCGUGGAGGUCCUGAAACGCAACGGCCCCGGUGAUGGGCGGUGCCUGCUGUGCGGAACUGAAGAGGAUUCGAAUCAUAUCUUCUUCACCUGCGUGUCCGGCAGUUCUUAUAGAGCUGUUUCCGCAAAAUAGUGGGUGGAAGCUGGGACCACAACAACUUCCCCGCUCUCUUAGCUGAACUCCAGGCGUUAGCACCCCCAGUUCACCACAGUAGGUGGCUGAUCGUCGGGGUGCUAGCUUGGACGCUAUGGACUGUUAGGAAUAAGCUUGUGAUUCAGCGCAUCCCUCUUUGUCGUGCUACUGACGCUUUGUUCAAAUGGUCUGGUUACAUGCAGCUUUGGCGGCCGCUUAGCCGUCCCCGGGAACGAGAGAGACGCCAUCACCUUCAUCAUCACCCAGCUUUGCUCGAUGGCUCUCCGGAUGGCUCCACCGCUUCCCCCACCACCACCGGAGCCAGAUUAGAUCUUCUCCACCUCGCCACUGCCGUUUUGUUGUUGUGUGUGUCGUGCGCCUGUGUUGGGCUUGUUGUGCUGUGCCCACAGCUGAAACUGGGUUUUGUUGGUGUGCGUGUUUGUCGAACCUGGCUGCGGUGGCUUUGUGUGUGUGUGUGUUUCUGUUUGGUGUGUACCUUCAUAACUUUGUGCUCGGUGGUUGCUUAUUUAUAAAGUGGGGCGAAAGCCUUUUUUGGCAAAAAAAAAAGAAUAUGAGUUUAGGACUCACAAAUUGUCACGUGUCCUGCAAAGGUAGGUAGGGAUCUGGCCGUUGAGACGAUGAACGCGCUCUCCGUUUCCUGUCAAAGGAAUUAAAAAGACACUCUUCAUGGCCAGGCAACCGAACAAAGCAGGAGCCUCUCCUUUUUGUAAUUCAAAUCAUAACUUCGUGCUCCAACAUUUGUUCAGAAAUUAAGGAGUAGUAUAAAGUAGCGCAUGAACACAAGCACGGGGAGGGCGCCUUUCACCUAAGGGCCACAAGAUUUCCACUCCUUCCCUUACCCCUCUCCCCCUAUAAAAAGCCCGCCUGCAUCCUCCAGCCCUUCGCACAAAGCUCCUCUGAAACCCACAUUGUCCUGUUCUGCCCUACGGCGAGGAGGCCAUUUAAGCAGGUUUUGGGUUGUUUUCUUAGAUGGAUGUGGGGGUAUGUGUUGGUCAGUCCCCUUGUUCCUUAAUCAGUGUUUUUGUCGAUGCCAUUUGCUUUGCCAGGUGGGAAGAAGUUCGGAAAACAUGGCCGCGAUGGGUGGGGACCAAAGGCACAUGAUGGAGGGUGCGGCGGAGGACAAGAUCCCGGAGGGGUUACGAGUCCUCGCCGUGGACGACGACUGCGUCUGCCUCAAGGUGCUAGAGAACCUCUUGCGCGGCUGCAGAUACCACCGUGAGUCUCUUGAAUCUUGAUCCCUCCGCUUCGCCAAAGUCCAUUAGAAUCGGAGCCUUUUGUGAUCUUUUUGUUUCUCUGCGAAUAAUGCUUUCUGCGACGCAGCAACGACGGUGACGGAUGCCAAGGCGGCGCUGAAGAUUCUCAGGGCGGGGAAGGAGAAGUUCGACCUGGUCAUCACCGACGUUCGGAUGCAGGACAUGGAUGGCUUCAAGCUCCUCGAGCGCAUCCGCCUCGAGAUGGAUCUGCCCGUCAUCAGUACACUCACUGCUGAAUUCGAAGUCCUAGUUUUACUUUUGUGUGUAUGAGCUGACAAUUCUCUUUGAGAACGUACUUCUAAUCCUGAAUCUUGGAUAUACAGUGAGAGGACAUUCAUUCCUUUGGGCAGCACGUGGGAUCCUAUAUAUUCAGCACGAUUUUAGGAAAUCAAAUACACAUGCACGCCACACUCACCCUAUUUUUUACUUUGGGGAAAUCGAAAGAGUGGGAUCCCCUUUCAGCCUGAACCAACGGUAUCCCAUCAAACAGUUCAUCUGUCCGUUCGGAUGCCAGUGGGCCGGGUAGUAGAGCGGAGGUGAAUCGACACAUUAGUGAAUUAGGAAGGGGCCGGAUCGCAUGAUCCCUAGUGGUAUCGGUUCCUUGCCGAACCAAGGGGAUCCUACCUAACUGUUCAUCCAUCGAUCGAAUGGCUAGUGGGGGCUGGGGAAUGGAAGUGGACAGGGUAGGAUGUGAGUUCCGAGAUCCAAUUAAUUAUUGACUUAAAUAAUUGUGUUAAUUGUCUUUAGUAUGCUAGAGAUAUGCUCAUGUGUACCAUAUAUAAUUAGAAGGAGGCAACAAGAUGUUUUCCCCCUAUAGGAACCGGUUCUAUUUUCGAUCAAUUGAUGUCCCAAUUGCAUUAAAACAUGUCGUCUAGAUUCAAUAUAAAUUUGUUUUAGAACUUCAAUACAUAAUGCCUGAAGUCUAGAAUUCAAUACCAUCCAUACAAUAUAUAUGGUAAUCUAGCUUAGUGGGAGUAUGUGUCACCCUUAUGCAAUGUAGACCCACUACGUAUGUGUUCGGCGUGGGUGCAUUGAUGGACACAGUUUAAUUUUGUAUGCUCUCAAUUGUAAAAAUCUAGUCGUAAGAACCAAAACUAUAAUAUAUUUAUAUUUUGUGAUAUGACCAAAUUAUAUUUAGUAGUUUUCUAAACUAAUAUUAAAUGUCUAGUCAUUGCAAUCACACAAAGUAUAGAACUGCACCACACCUGUUUGCUAGGGUGCCAUGAGUAAUACAAUUGGGAAACCACUUAUGUUGUAUCUACGUUAUUAAAGGAUUACACAUCUAUAAUCUGCUUGAGAUUCUUAGUGAAAACUACUUACUCCUGAGAAUACCAUAUAUAUUAAAGUAGGAGUGCUACUUUUAAGCAGAUACAUUGAGUAGGUUAACCAUGUAUAGUAUCUACAAUCCUGCAGCUUGGUUGACUUUGAACUAGCACACUAAUUUGUAGUCACAUUAUUUUUGGUGGAGAUUGCAACCAAAAAUACUUAUUAUCCUAAAUUGUAAUAAAAAUACUUCACAUAAUGGUGCUGCUAUGCGCAUGAUUGCUUAACAUGCUCAAAACAUUGCUGGGGCCGAUCACUUCUAUCUAGUGCGCUAGAGAAACAUGGUAAACCACCAAUGAUAGUAAUUGAUCUUCAGGUUCACCAGUACUUAAACGUGAUGAUAAGAUUUACCUAGUAAUAACAUGGUAUUAUGACUGUUUAGGCAUUGUGUCAUGGUUAUUUUAUUAUCGAUUAUUUAUCUUUUAUACUAUUAAUUGAAUAUGUGAAUGUUUUUCUAUUUAGUUUGCAUUGGAAAGCAAAUUAUAUCAUUGUCAUGAUAAUUUGAAAAUCAUGUGUAAAACAUGUUUGCUUCCCCACUUGCACGACGCAUUUGGAAAAUAUUGAAUUCUGUUUUCUGUCUAUAAGCACUAGUAUAAAAUUUAAUGUCCAGUUCACAGAUUUUUCUGAAGUACUCAACUCCAAAGCUAAGUCAGGUCAUAUGGCAAGCAGUGCUAUCCGAAUAUUGCGAGAAGAAGGCUGUGAUGAAGGGGAUCAAUCAUGGGGUGUGUUACUAUUUGGUGAAGCCAGUGCAUACCAACGAGCUAAAAAACAUAUGGCAGCAUGUUCAAAGCAAGAGAAAAUCCGAAGCAAUAAGGCACAUCAGCGGUGAUGAUGAUGACGAUCAGAGGGCACAACUUGGGACUGCUGCCAAGAGCAAUGAUAGAGCUAAUACUGAUGAGAACAAAGAGAACACACAGGCAUCCACUACCCAGAAUAAGCCAAGAGUGGGAUGGACAAUUGAGUUGCAUACAAAGUUUAUGGAAGCUAUCAACCAGAUCUGCCUUGAUAGUAAGACACACAUUAUGUCCUUAUUAAAUGACAAAACAUUUGUUGCUAUUUGGGAUUUUUCAUUAACAAUUUUUUUAUGACGUUACUAUAGGGGCUACUCCAAAAAAGAUUCUGGAGAUGACGAAUGUCGAUUGCCUCACUAGACAAAAUGUAUCGAGUCAUCUACAGGUUUAUUUUCGACCCUCGUUCUUUAUUUUUCACAUGUUUGUGUUCCAUUUAUUCAUCUAACAUUUUGUCGUAUAUAAGUGCGAGCUUUUAUUUCUGGGGUAACAUAUCAGUCCUAGUAAUGCACCUAGCAUGAAAAUGUGUGUAUUUGUAAUCAUCUUUGUCCUUGAAAAUGUAAGGCUUAUCUUACAUAAUGCAUGCCCCAUACUUUUUUUAUAACCCAUGCAACACUUCCAGUUAUUUUUGUUCCCACAUGUCCACCAUUACUAUCUCCCAUGAGCGUGCAUCUCAUAUACAAGUUUAUUUUGUCUAUUGUUAUUUCAGAAGUAUAAAUUGUACUUGAAAAGAGUCAACCCAAACCCACUUGGUGAUGCAUGUGUAAGAUGGAACUCUUUCAUGAACAUUCAGGACAGUUUUAUGCAUAACCAUAAACAUGAAAGGUGGGGUGUGUCCUAAGGUGGCAUCGCCUCCUAGAGUCCUAACUAUUACGAUGAAGCGGGUCACUUAGGUCUGCAUACAAACACCCAGAGCAGUAUGUCCAUGGCUUAAUUAAUCAAUUGGGCUAGAAUGCCGGUGUAUUUGGUUCCACAGACACCCUAUAUGGGAAGAUUUUCUGGCUUCAAUGAGCACAUAGUUCCAUUCAUCAUACCUGGCAACCCAAGCUCUAUAUUGAUGCUGAAUGCAAACGACAGUGUUCCAAUGGCACCACCUCAGUUCGUUUACAGCGACCCCAUCACUACCUUAGUGGCAGGCUCCAGUGAGCACAUGGCGCCAUUCAACGUAGAAAGCAACAUGGGCACGGUUGUAAUGAUGUUAAAUGGCAAGUCUGCACAUGGUACAGGAAGAACAUCAGUGGCAGAGGCUGAUAUGGAUAACUACGGGUGAACUAGUUCCGCACUUUCGAACCAACAAACAGAUGGUUUCGUCCCAUUGACCCAGAUGCAUAAUGUCGGUGAUGCAUCUGGCAUUCUCCAUGUGCAAGAAGGAACAAUGGACCAACAAGCGCUUGGUGGUCAACUGAAUGGCAUCAACGCCUUAUCAUCGGGUGGUAUUUCCAACCUUCUCAAUGAAGUAAGAACUUUUCUCGUUGACAUGUAUGUAGUCUAUGCAUAUGAAAUUUUGAACUGAGAAUGUGUAUUUAAAUCAAACUAUCUUUCUUGCUGUAGGAUUUCAUUGGAGAGGAUGCUGUCAUGGAUGGAUAAUGACACUUAUGUUGGUUAACCCAACCUACACGCGAGAUUUUUUCGCAUGUGUGUUGGGAACUUUUAAUUGGCCAUUCCCUUGUUCUUGCACACUGUACCUUGAAACUAUGUGAAUUACUGUAGUCUAGUUAGAAGUACAGUCGUGUCGGGGCUUCUAUUUUACUCU